AUAAAAAAGGCCCUUUUAUCUUCUGCUUCCGCAAAAUCCCAAAAUAAACUCGCCAAGUCCAAAAAAAGUACAUAUGAAAUUGAGCACAAUUUUGCAAAGAAAUAGCCCACUUGUUUCUCAAGAAGAGUUGGGAAACAUGCUCAAUAUCAUUUGAUUGAGUGGUUGACCCAGCCCCUUGUUGUUUGAAGAAACCCUGACUUUUCUUAGAGUUCAACCUUAUGAAAAGCUGUCAAAUGGUUGUGGCUGCCAUGUUGCAUACGCUUUCAGUCCAUCCCUCUCUAGACAAGUUAAGUCCAUGAUAAAAUAGAAACUGUUUACAUCCACCUGUGGUUGACUUCAUCUUAAUGUACUCGUACGCUCAAGUAUCUCAAUAUGCAGUCUUAAAGCACUUGAUAGGAUAUUAAAUUUAAGGACUUUAUUUACUGGUUGAAGUUAAUGCAGCUCUCAGUUUGGUCACAUAAAUCUCUUAGGUUGUUCCAUAAUGAAUUCCAGAUUAAGCUAAAUAUAUAGUAGUAUGUGCAUACAGAAUGUGUGCACAUUCUCUUACAUGACAACAGGCAACUUGGUUCCAGGUUUUUUAGGGUUCACUAGAUAUCUACUGCAGUGCCUUUCUCAUUUGGCCUGGUAGACCAAUGUCUUAAAUGAAUAGCUUUUGAUGUUUGUAAUCAUUGCUCUAAAUUUUGGUUCCCUUCUCCCUCGUCCUCCUUCUCUUCCCCCCCCCCCCCAAAAAAAAGGAUUUGAUUUAUUUGAUGAUGCUUGUAGUCGCAUCUAAACUGCAUGCCUUUGAUGUUCUCAGGUUGGUGCUCUACAAGAUGUCAGAUCUGAGUUGACGAAAUUGCGAGGAAUUCUUUUCUAUAAAGUAUUGGAGGAUAUGCAUGACCAUCUUUAUAACAAGGGUGGAUACAGGUAAUGUUUCUUAUCCCUAUUUGAUCAUAUAUGUUUAUUAAGUGUCUUCUUGUGGAUUUUAAAUAUUGACUUUCCUGCUUUUGCAUUUCUGUGAAGUCCUUAUUUAUCCAUGUAAUUUGCAAUAUGAGGUAAAUUUGGAAUGUGAUGUCAGAAUAUUUCAGGGUUGUCAGCUUGUGACACAUUGCCUUGUUUUCCAAGGGAAAGUCUGCUUAGACUGAGUCUGACACCCACUGCCCUUUUGGUCAGGGAAAUGGGAGUGGUUUACAACAGUUAAAUGUGUAACUUUUUUGCAUGUUUUGCGUCAAGUCAAUCAAAGUACACUUCUACAUCUGCCUACACAAAGGUUUUAUGUUGGGAGGGUUUAAGACAUCCUUGGGGAGAAAGUCUGUACACACAGUCCACUAACAGAAGACCUCAGUUUCUUGUUGAUUUCUGAAGCAAGCUGUCUCCUUUUUCUUGUUUGCCCCUAUCGAAUAUUCUUUUGCCAUUAGUGUUUGUUGCUUUUUUGUUUCUUCAAUUGAAUGCUCCCUUUUUGUUUAAUAUAUUUUGCUUGCUUGAGUUUUUUUGCAUCCUCUUCCUCUUCAUAGUGGUCCUUUCAUUUUAGUCUGUGUUUGUACGACACUUUAUACACCUUGAUCUUGUACGAUUUUAAGUUGAACAACUAAUAUUCAUGUUCCCUUUUAAAAUAUCUGUCCUUGAGUAACACCCAUUGAGUAACAAGGGUUGCCAUUCUUUCUUAGCCAAAUCUCUGAAUUCAGGUUUUAGCUAUUUUUUUACACCACUUGCACAGCAAGCUUUUCAUCCAGUUAGGUAAAACUAUAUCAGAUGACUACAUAAGGGGGCAAAGAUAAAACACACAGCAAGAUAGCAGUUCCAACAUUUUAUUUUGUAAUUCUCUGUUUUUGAUGGUCUCUUUUGAGCAUCAGGCAAGGCAUGAUUCUUAAAACUUGCUGCUUGGUGAAAUUUGAUUUCUUCUUGUGCAGUUCUGCUGUGUCAAGUAUUGACGAGAUGGAUGAUGCAGUGCCAACUGCCACAGCUGUUGCAUAUUUUACAAACAACACGCAAACUCUCUCUAGAAGAACCAGGUUGCUUAAAGGCGACAAUCAGUUUGGUUCAUCUGGACUUGGAGAUGGAUCAUUUCGAGCUAGUUCUAUUGACGGGGGGUAAUAUAGAAUACUUAUUUAAGAUUCACUUGUGUAAAUUGUAUUUUUCUUUGUUUGGUUGCUACUUGGCAAAUUGUAUUUUUCUUUGUUUGGUUGCUACUUCUGCUUCACUGUGUAGAAUCUGGCUCCUGUUCUUUGAUUUUCUUAAUAUUAAUUCUGCUGCUGGUUAGAAUCAACUUUGAUGACUGAAUACUUUGUCUCACGACUAAGAAAACUUGUUUAGCAUCACCGGUUAGACUGAUGACUGUCACCUUGUGUGUUACAUACCCAUUUAUUUGUUCUGUUGUUCGUCUUUCUUCUGACUCAGUUUUGGCCUAUAUAUUGGUUUACGUUUUGUGUUUAUAUCUACUGCUCAAAUUCUAGUGUGCAAGAGAGUCAAACAGAAAGAGAUGUUUGCUUGUCUAAAAUAUCAAAGUCUGUUCAAAGUAUAAAAAUCUAUAACACAAUGCAUUUUUUUUUUUUUUACAAAAGGUAAGAUUAAAUUGCAGUGUUGAGGGAUGAAACAGAGCAAUUUUUGCAUGGUGUGCACUAUUGCAGUUCCCCACAUUGCAUGCAUGUUGUGCUCUAUUGACUGAUAAGUUUUUACAAGUAAUGCGUAUGUAAAUGGAUUUUCAAUAUAAAAACUUGGAAUGGUUUUAGUUUGUUCUGAAGAAAUAUUUGCUUUGAUGAUUCAAAUGCCUAAUUUUUCUUUAUUGGAUUGAAUAAUGUGCAAAGUAAAUAAUGCAUAAUCUACCUCUUUGCUCUGUAGUUCAUCAUUUGACGGUCACGAUGAGGAUGGCACUUUGGAUGUACAAGAGGAUGGUAUGUCAAAGGUCAAUGGUGGUGAUGAUACAUUAAAGGAUGUCAAGCUUUUUUCUCGUCAGAUUCCAAUUUGGCUGUCAGAUGCCACUCCUGAUGAAUUUGUUGUAUGAAUGCUGUACACACUGUACAAUCUCAUCUGUGCAAUUAGUAAUCAACUUAUCUUGUCAAACAGUUAUGAGCUUUUUAUUUUGAAUCUGCAUGUAGGAAACAAUGCGAAAGAGUGAUGCUCCUUUGCAUGUUAAGUAUUUGCAGACCAUGGUUGAGUGCCUCUGCCUGCUUGGCAAAGUUGCUGCCGCUGGUGCCAUAAUAUGGUAAGUUUUCAACAUUCAAAAUCAAUAAGAGUCUCGUCUCAUAAGAUGAUCAGGCAUAGUUUUAACAAGUUGAUAUAUGUCUCUUCCAAGGCCUAAUCAAAUCUCUAACUUCUGCUGCACAAUCUCUCUCCCAUUCGACUUCUUUCUCUUGGCUCACUGCAAACUCGUAACUUUUGAUCCGCUUUUUUCACUUGUAUUCUUUCGGCUGCAUGUGACAUCUUUAUCUUCUUAGAAGUAUUAAUAUAUUAGCUUCAUAUCUUGUUCUUAAUGGUUUCAAAGAGUAAGGGGAAUCAAAGUGCUUUUUGUCAUAGUCAAAUCAAAAUUCCUUGUGCUUGUUACCUCAUCUUCUACAAUUGUGUGUUACAGGACACUAUGGGAUAAUUUGUUAAGCCAGUUUGCUUUAUGCAGCUACAGGAGAUAAGCAGGGCUUAAAAUCUGCUUCUGUUCUUUUCGAUUGAAAUUGUUAGACAUAAGGCAUCAAAUUGUCAUUUAGUGAGCUAGCGUUAGUAUAUAUGCAUUGAGCUUGUUUUAGGAGUGAUGGCUUUUACUUUCUAUUGUUUUCUCAAACAAAUUAGAACAUGACUUUUGGUCUUUUCCUUGUUGUUUUCAACAGCCAAAGGUUGAGACCUACAAUUCAUGAUAUAAUUACAACCAAGAUUAAAUCACAAGCAGAGCGUUCGAACUCUUCAAGGCCUGGCAUUGGGCAAGCUGCACAAACUGGGUUAACAGGUCUACACUAUUUAAAGGGACAGUUGGAAAGUUAUCAGCUAUUAAAGCAGAAAAAACAUCAAAAUGGAAUUUCUCUAGCUGGAGCCUUAUUAGCUGUGAGCCCAGUGUCUUCUGUAAUGUCUCCCAGUGGAACAGCACAGGCUUCUGCAAAAGAACUUCUUGAUUCCAUUCUGGAAACUGUUGUUAGGAUUUUUGGUUAGAUAUGAGUGCCUCUCUUUUCUUCAAUUUAAUGCCUGUAAUUACUUCUCUACUUUCUGAACAAAUCAUUAUGAUUGCAGAGAACCAUGUUAUUGUUGGAGAGCUUCUUGAGACAAAAUCUGCCCAGCAGGUUGACUUGAAUACACCCAAGUCCAUAGUUGGAGAGUCCAAUUGGAACCAUGAUCCUGAGGCAUCACAUGAUACUGGUGGUUAUAGCAUUGGCUUCUCGCUGACUGUUUUACAGGUAGGUCUCUUAUGAUUGUGAUUUUUUUGUUAAGGUUGAAUUUCUUACUCUGUUAAAUUCUUAAAGUUCUAGCGCCAGAGUACAUUUUAAUUUGUGAAUUAAAUGCAUCAUUAUGGUUUUGAUGGAUUGCGGAUUAGAGUGAGUGUCAACAACUCAUAUGUGAAAUAUUACGAGCUACUCCUGAAGCUGCAUCAGCAGAUGCUGCUGUCCAAACGGCUAGACUUGCAAGCAAGGCUCCAUCUAAAGAUAAGAGGUGAGUAAAGAAAAUAUUGAUUCUCUUCCACUUUAUCUUGGAGAUUCUGUUCCUCUUUCUUCAAGAUAUUUAUUUUCAGAUAGCAACUCUAGGUCUAGGGCCAAUUCCUUGCUUGGAAUGAUAACAUCAAAUUUCAAAAAUUGGGAACUAUAGUGAAGUGCUUCUGCAAUCUUUGCAAGAGCAAAGUUUGUAUCUCAUCUUCAUUUGUCUUGACUGAAUAGUCUCUGCCAUCAAAUUGGAGUUAGUUGCAGUUCAUCUACUUCUUAUCUCUCCUCGCCUAUGUAGAGUUUGUUUUUAUUCACAAUUUGCGUCAUGAAAAAAUCAAUUGGACCAUGCGGUCUUGCAUGACUUAAGGCCAGUACGUGAGUCAUGAAAAGUGUAUGAUUGUUAAAAGUGCUUAACUCAUAAUCUAGUGGAGGAAUAAAAUUCAGGCAGUUUUAUUUUAAAUCGUUUUUUAGUAUAUGAUCAGGAAUGAUGCAAAUAAGGUAUUCAGGAAAAUUGGAUCAGGUUUCAGACUUUGUUGCAAUUGAGAUUCAGCUACAUGAUGUUGAAACCUGCAUGCCUAUUUGUUUAAUGUUCUUUCUGACCCAAUAAAUGGUAAGCUACGAUUUGUUGAUGUCUAAUUGUUUAAACUGUUUAAGCUUUUCUUUGAUUGAAAUGACUGAAAUAUACUUUCCGUUACUAAUUGCAACAAUCUUAAUUUAUGGUUUUACUCUAAUUGGGAACAAUUUCAUGUGAUAAUUAGCUGCAUAAGUAACUCAUAGGGGGCGAUUUACAUGCUGCAGUGAUUCACUUUUGGAACGGCCAACCACUGAAGGUGCUGAAUAUUCCAUAAAAUUGUCCAUGUGUUUGAGCACUGAACAUAGUUACCUGAUGAUUUUUAAAAGCAUGAUCGACCUAAUUGAAAUGAUUUAGGAAUCGUGACAUUGUUAGAGUGAACACUAAUAGUUUCAUUUAAUGAAGUUCCAGGGAUACAAAACUGGAUGGUCCCUAUUUAUAUUUUGUACUUGAUAGAAUUAUUACAGAAAGUAGUUCUGCUGCAACAGUGGCUUUAUGUUUCAUAUUCUGUAGAAUUUGUUUAAUUCUUAUUAUGACUAGUAAUGUUGCAUUAGUGAUUUCCCUGAAUCUUUAAGAUUUUUUUACCUCUCAUUGGCUUUGACAUUAAUCUUUUUUGUUGAAUCUGUGCUGUAGGGACGGAUCUGAAGAUGGUCUAACUUUUGCCUUUCGCUUCACAGAAGCUACAAUUUCCAUUCCUAAUCAGGGUAUGUGCAACUGUGCUAUUGCAUUUCUUACAAUUCCUUUUUCUGUGCGUGAAUAUAUGAUUUAUUGCCCUUGUGAGGUACCUAUGGAAUUACUUGACUUUGUCAUGUUUUAAAUUUUGUUCCAUACCCGAAAGUAAAAUAUCUGGUUGCGUUUUUCCAUUUUUACUGGGGACAAAAUUGUUCCGUUCAGUUGUCUGAACCCAUUGCCAUUGAAUAAAUUGUGCUGCAGGAAGAUCGAUCAUACUUAUAAGGUGUCAAAGUUGAUAAUAAAUUCAUUUAGCUAUCAGUCAUGAUAUUUUGUGGGUAUGAAGCAGGAUAGUUUAAGUAAAUUCGAAGAAAAUCUGUAGUAAUCUGUUUUGGGCUUCACGUUUUAGAAUGUCAAUGCCAUGUUCUUGCUUCUUCAUCUGCUAAUACCUUUACCCAAAGUUUGCAUGCUAUGUUUAUCUUCUUUCAACAAAUGAUGGAAUCAAAGCUUUUUAAUUUUUUAAUUUUUUUUGAUUGAUUUCAUCUAUACUUCCUCUCUCCUGCCAUCCUGGGUUUGGAGAAACAGUAGACGUAUGGAAAAACUGGUCUGCCAAUUGCAGUUACAUUUAGACUGUAACAUAUCCAUUUCAAGUUACUUUUUACAACCAGAUUCCUCUUUCCUUUUCAACUUUUCACUCCAUUGUCCUUAGUAAGUUUAUCGUGAACAAUUUGACUCAGGGUUGAUCUCAUUCGCCAAGGAUGGAGUAGGCGAGGUCCUAAUGUGCUUCAAGAAGGUUAUGGUACUGCAGCUAUUCUACCCGAGCAGGGCAUAUAUUUAGCGGCAUCUGUAUAUCGACCCGUUCUUCAGGUUUAGCAUUUGACACGCUUUUCUAUUUCUUUCCCCCUUUUCCUCUUGUUACUAUCAAACAUGGAUUAUGUAACUGGUCUUAUAAAAUUUGUUUGUCUGCAGUUUACAGAUAAAGUUGCUUCAUUGCUACCUCAAAAGUAUUCUCAGCUUGGGUAAGCUUGGAGUUAAUUAUACAGCUUCUUGUUCUUGAGAAUGAAUUUUUUUUUCCUGACAGUUUACAGGAAAAUGGUUAAAGGCAAUUGUUGCCAUGGUUCUCUACUUAUCUUUUGACAUUUUCUUGUGCUGCUCUUGAUUUUUGUUGAGGAAACAUAAGUGGAUGAAAGGAUAAUGUUACCAUAUGACCUGCUCUUCAAGCUUCUAAUAAAGAAUUUAUCCUCUUCAGCGAGAACUAGAACUUCAUUACUGAAUUUUCAGACAACUGCAAGGCUCUAUGCUUAGCUGUAUACGAUAAUUUUGAUGAUGUCAUAAUAACUGAGGCCUCAGGAUUUAAUAUUUUGUGAUAAAGCACGACCGUCAUUGAAAUGUUCAAGUCCUAAACUUUCAAGAAGAUUUGUUUACCAGAAUCUGAAGAAGAGUGCAAUUUCGGACUAAAUUCAAGUAAUCACAUAUUUGUCUAAAUUUUCUGGUAGAAGUACAAAAAGAUAUAGAUGUACAUAAAAUUUUGACUGCUGUGUGUCGGACAUGCCUGAUUGUGAGUUUUUAUUACGAAGGCUUGCUUCCAUUUGGGAGUUGAUAUGCUAUUAUUUGCACGACUGUAUGACAUUCUCCUUCAUCAUCACCAAACAAAAUGGGGAAAAAUAAGAGUGGUGUCAUUGCAGAAAUGAUUUUUUCUUUUUUGAAGUUGUUUUACUGAGGUGAGUAUAUAGCUUUUCUGGACAUCAUGGAAACAAUAUUAACACCACAAAAUGAUGUAUGAAGGUAAAUGGUUAGUGUAAUUAGAUGUCUAUGAGUAAAUUGGAAAACAGUUGCUAUAAUUAAAAAACUCCAUGUGACUGCCCUUUGCCACAGUUGUCAAAGGAAUUUAGGGCUUGGUUAUGCACUGGGAUACUUCCUGGAUAAACUGGAAAUUAGAGAUUCUGAUUUAGUGUAGUGUGUACCCAAAAGGUAACAAUAAUGACUGGAAUACUUUUGACAUUGUGGUGAUUGGAACAAGCUUCAUCAAAUGAUAGUUUAUACUGCUGUGGAAUUGAUUUAUUAGCUCCUUAAAAUUACUAUGGGUUUCAAAAGUGAAUGGUUCCUGUUGUUGCUCACAACUUAAAUUGGUUUGUAGUAACCUUCAUUUUUCUUUGUUUUAUCCUUUAGUGUGUCUUAACCACUAGAGGGUCUGGGACAUGGGUGUUAGUUUUUCUUGCCUCUGGUUUUUAUAAUGCUUCCCAGUUAGUUGACUUACACAUUCCUUGCUUUCGAAAUUUUCAGGAAUGAUGGGUUGUUAGCAUUUGUGGAGAACUUUGUGAAGGAUCACUUUUUACCUACAAUGUUUGUUGAUUACCGGAAAGGCGUUCAGCAAGCCAUAUCAAGUAAGUUCUACACACUAAUCCAUUUUUAGUUUUUCUUCAUCAAUUUCAUUCAAGCUUUAAGGUCAAGGAAUCUACAAUACUGAAGUCAAUAUAACGAUGAAAAGUUCUGCCUUAGUAUUACUUUGAUCAUAGCCUUGUGUUUUAGAAUUAAAGUAGUUAAAUACCAAUUUUCUUUAAAGCUCAUCUUAUAUAUUUACUCGUAAUUUUUAUUGUCUUUCAUUUGUGCAUUGAAGAUAUAGUUCCUCUGCAUUAGUAAUUCUUGAUUUCUGAGGACCAUAUUGAACAUGGUAGUUUUCAUAUGCAUUAUUAAAUUUUCAUUUAUCUAAUAGGAAUUUAUACCUGUGUUUCUCAAGCAUUAGGUGCAAUUUCUGGUUUUUCCAAAUCUUUUGAUUCGUGGAUACUGCGGUCAAUUAGUAAGGAGGCAGAAUCUUCAGUAUUAGAUUAUACCACAUCACGUUAUUUAUGUUUCACAUGUCAUAACAACCAUCGCCUCUUUGUCCUUUCACAUUGGGAGGGUAAAAUAAGAUUGUUCAGCAAACUGUCAAUGAAUCAACAAUAUUGUGGAGUGCAAUGUAAUUUGUAUCUUAUUUUAAGAAGUCUAACAUUCAUUAACUGCAGUAAGUAGAUUCAGAUAUACAUAAAGUAAGUAUAUAGAUCUUCUAUGCAUGAAUCUCAUGCAUAAAUAGCUUUCCCCAAACACUGUCAAAGUAGCACAAUGGGCUUAAUUCUCUGCUACAAAAGUUCAGGAUUCUUGAUAUCUUGCCAUUGGAGCUAUUUGCAAAUUGCCCUUGCUGUUGAUUAGGAGCCAUACUGGUUGAAAUUCUGAUAGGCUUCUCAGUAGAAGUGAAUCUGUCAAACUUUUGUUCUCUUUGUUUUAAGGGCCAUUGUUGACCUUUCUGGUUUCUAAGAUUCUCUUCAGAGCACAAUUUUGUUCCCUUUUUCUGGUUUUUAGAAAGAUCGCUUUGGUGGCUGAGAAUAAAUACUUAUCAGGUGGAAGUUUUUGUUUUAAAUAUUGAGGCUGUUCACUUAAUUUAUUGGUCUAAAUUCUCAGCAGUUUGACUGGAAAGGCCAGAAUUUGACAGUCAAACUGAAAUGGAGUGGACUGUAUAUUCUCUGAGAUAUUUUUCAUUUGUAAGUUCCGAGAGAGGCUAUUCUUGGAGAGGGGGUGGUUGUUGUGGACUUGUUGAUAGAAGUUAUUGGAUAUUGCCACGAGGUUGGCCGUCUUUUUGAACUUGGGCUUGUGCUACAUAGCAUCUGGAUGUCCUAUGUGAUGCGUGAGAGAUAAACAAUAUGUGUUGGAUUGGUAAAAAUUCACUUUUGGUGUUGGGAAAUUUAAAUCUGUUUGGAAAGAAAAGCAGUGAAUGGACUUCUGUGCAAGAGGCUGCAAAGGAAGAAGAAUUCAAUUACUGCUCUAAAAAUCCUUUAAUUCAAUUACUGCUCUAAAAAUCCUUUCUUUCUUGUGAGGGGGGUUUUUUGGACAUUAUUAAGCUGAAAUUGUAUUAGCUGCAUGAUGGGUCGUUUGUCAUUAAACCUUGUUUUUUGGAAAUCUCUAUGCAGGUCCAGCUGCAUUCCGUCCAAGAGCACAUGCAGCUGCUUGUUAUACACCAUCAAUUGAGAAGGGCGGCCUGUCUUACAAGGGCUUUUGGCAAUUGAUUUCUUGGCAAAGGAGGUAGUCUUAGAUAUUCUUUAUGUCCUAUGAAAGAAAAAAGGAGUGUAUACAAUAGACGAAGUCAAACAGGCAUUUUUUGUCCAAGUCUUUCAACGCUUUGGUUACAAUAUUAGGGACAUUCCCUCUGUCAUUGUUUGAAAAGAAAGUUAUUUUGUAACUUGAUUGAAUUUACUUUGCUCUGUAGUGAUAAUGAAGUGUGUACUUUUCUUUCAAGUCAUUUUUUUGUCCCAUUUAAAUUGCGUUUAACCUAUAAACCUUUUAUUUCAGGUUUUUGGCUGGGCCCAAGCAAUGCCUAAAUUUGCUGGUGAUCUCAUGAAUUAUGUCCAAACUUUCCUUGAAAGGACAUAUGAAAGAUGUCGGACUUCAUAUAUGGAGGCAUGAGCUCUUUUCCUCAUUUUGUUAAAUUUUAAGCAUUUGUUGGGACCUUGGCCAGGGAAAUUUGUUUGCUACUCGUCUCUUUCUCUGUUCCUAGACUAGUUUUCAUUCUUUUAGAAAAUCUGGGAAACUCUUGGUUAAAAUAAUCUCUCAUUUUUGUGGCCUUCCUCAAAAGUCAAAUAUAUAAGGGCAACACCCUAGAUGUGUAAAUUUUAAAUGAAUGGCUGUUUCUUCUACAUCUCACCUUGUACGUUCAUAGCAUUCCAAAUAAGAAGAAGACCAAUAGUUUUCAUGUGUGUCAUCAUGCAUCAAAACCUCCUGCUCAAUGCACCUUGAGUAGUGGGGUUGUCAUGUAAAGUGUUUUGCAGUUUCAUCUGAAUCUGCAUAAUUCCAAAGUAAAUUGUUUCUGGUGGUACAUGUCUUGUUUGAUUAUGUCAAGGAUUUUCUUAUUUUUCAUUGCCUGGUAUUUUCUUUUGACAAUACUAUUCCUGGGUAAUAUAUCAGGCAGUUCUUGAGAAGCAAAGUUAUAUGCUCAUAGGGAGGCAUGAUGUUGAAAAUCUAAUGCGCAUUGAUCCAGCCAGUGCUUGUUUACCAAACUUACCUGGUCAGUCAAAUUUGGUCGGCAAUGCUUCUGAUGCUGAAACUGUGGAGUUUGAAAUGCAAAUGAGUGAUCUUUUGUUUAACUUGAGGCCGAUCAAGCAGGUAUCUGUACAGUAGGAGCCUAUUUAACAUUUUUACCUGUUGAGCUUUGGCCUCUUAUAUGCAAAUUAGACUAAGCCAGCAUCUUGAUAGUGAGCUACAUGCUCUGUUUUGAAUUUAAUUUUUGCAGGAGAACUUGAUUCGUGAUGAUAACAAACUUAUUUUGCUGGCAUCUCUGAGUGAUUCACUGGAAUACAUUGCGGACUCAAUUGAAAGGCAAGUUUUCCGCAUUUGUGCUGCCAUACAUGUGUGUGGUAGUCCCGUAUUAUUUUCCUUGAAAGUUUUGGUUAUCAUGCUUUUGGCAGGCAUGUGCUGUAGUAUUGUGUUUUUCAUACUACUUUGUUGGUAACUUUCAUGUGGAAAUAAACCCAUACAAUCGUUAUGCAAUUAUAUCAUUCACUUUGGUACAUUUUUAUGCCUAUUUUCUAAUAGAAGUCUCAAGUUCAUGUUGUAUUUAUGCUGAGUUGUUAUUUCAAUUUAGAAUAAAAAACCUGUCGCAUCAACUAUAUCUGUCACAUAUAUAGAUGGGCAUUGUAUUACCAAGAUUUUAUAUCAUCUGCUAUUUUGGUGAUAUUAAAAAAUCUAGCAAGAUAUCUGGCUAUAUUCUGCUAUAUUCUGAUGUGAAUGGAUGUCACUUUCUGCAUUGCAGAUGAGAUUUUCACAAGAUGUGCACACAUCCUUAUUUACUUCAUUAUGUCUCUUGCUAUUUUAGGUCGCUUACUUAUGUGCCAUUCACUAUGUGGUUGGUCCACAGGCUUUCUAGUCGUGUAUUUUCUCUGUUUAUGAAAUGGAAAAAGUGAAUAGUAUAAAUUAAACUCACCAAACAUGUUAAGACUCUUGGCCGAUGUUUUAUGUCUUACCUGAUGAGUUUCCCUAAUUAUCAGGCUAGGAAAGACAUCCAAGAAAGUAUAUAACCAAGUAGAAGAGAAUGGGAGGCUAAAAACUCCGCGUCAUAGUAGAACGACCAGUACAGCUCCUAAGGAUCUUGCAUCAUUUGCUGAGGAGUAUAGAAAACUAGCAAUUGAUUGCCUUAAAGUUCUGCGUGUCGAGAUGCUGCUGGAGACUAUUUUUCACAUGCAGGUUUGACCAUAUUUUGGUGAUUUCAAUAUUCUGUCAACUAAAACGGGUUUCUGCAAUCUAUUAAGCUUCUGUUGAUGUAGGAAAUGACAAGCCGGCAAUAUUUGGAUGACCAAGAUGCAGAAGAACCAGAUGAUUUUAUCAUAUCAUUAACAUCUCUGGUAUGUAUCACUGCUUUCCAUUUUAAACUGUGUGUAGAUGUCACCUUAUUGGUGCAGUGACAUCCAUAUGUGAUUCCUGGCUAGAAUUUUCUGAGCAGUCUGCAUUUACUCCAGCUUGAAGUAUAGCUAUGUCAGUUUUGUGAUCUUAUAGUGCCAUCUAAUUCAAGCGCCAAUAAUCUUGGAAAACUGCUUGGACCUGUUAUUUGGAUCAACCAAUAUCUGUCUUAGUUAUCAAUUUUCAUGAUAUGGUCUUUAUUAUAUGUAUUGGCAUGUUUAUGUGUUGAAGCACCUAAGACUUAUUUUAAUUUGCUUAUGAUCUAAGGCUGUAUGAAUCCUCAUGGCUGUUCUCUUUGCAAAUACUAUAAAGGACUCAGAAUCUAAAAAAUUAUGAUUAGAUAGAAUUUCAUGUUGUCUGUACUUAUUUUGGUGUAAUCUGAGCAUGGCAUAUGUGUCAAGUUGAUUGUGCUAUGGAAACACAAUAGGCAUCAAAAAACCAAACUUCCAUUACCUCCUAUCAGGUUUUAAUUUAGUUGUCAUCUUCUUUCUUUGAUUGGUAACCUCCUAUCAUGUUCUGAUUAUAUGUUACAAGUUUUUCCCAAAUGUUCUCAAUUUAUGCCAAGUUGAAUGAUGUCAUUCCAUUAUGUUUCUUUGGACAUAAUCCUUACCAUAAUUCUGCUUUUUUGACUGUUGUAGAUAACACGUCGAGAUGAAGAAAUGGCACCUUUCAUUGCCGAGUCGAAGCGUAAAUAUAUAUUUGGUGGAAUAUGUGGUGUUGCAGCACAUGCGUUUAUCAAGGUUUGCAAGUCAAAAUUCUUUCGUUUGCAGUUCCAGAUCAUAGGUUGGUAACAGAGUUCUUUGUUGCCUGUUAGGCUUUGACGGAUGUGACUUCUAUCAACCUUUUCGGGGUUCAGCAGAUAUGCCGGAAUUCUAUUGCCUUAGAACAGGUUUGUUUUGAUGAUUCUUUGCUCUUGCAAUGAAAUAGGAGUGUCAGAUUAAAUCUCGGAAAAUGAUGAUUAUCCUUCUCAGUUAAAUUAAGUCACACGUCACCAUUCCUUGAUUGUAGCUUUAUAAACUAUUAUAAAAUGAGGGUUUACUCUAGGUGUAUGUGAAGGUUUAGACUUGAUCGUCAGCUUUACGUGUUUGCAUGAUUUAAUCUGGACAUUAGUUGUCUAGUCCAAUGAUCGAAAUCUGCAAUACUGUUGCUUAUGGUUGGAGAGGAGUUCAGGAAAUAGAAAAAUCGAUGACUACCCAUUUCUUUCGUAUCUGUCAAGCUAAAAGUUAUCUGAUAAUUUACGGCCUUAUUGUCAGAUUCUUUGCUGAUGUUCUUUAUGGAUUGGGAAUUUUUGAAGCAGUUUCUAGGACUGUAGUACUUGUUUGAGAAUUACAAACCCCAAAGGCUACUGACCAAUUGGCCAAAUGCUGGAUAAACUAAAAUUUUGCCUACCCUUGUUAUAAUAGGGAGCAUAGCUGUAACCCAUGCAUGUCAGAUCUAAUUGAACUGAUUGCCCACAAUUGUCACAAGCCUAUUGUUACAUAAUACUGAUGACUUGUUCCCAAUCUAAUUCUGGUUCUCAAAACUUAUGCCCAUUUCAAUUCUGUUUCUGCUAUUUUAUAUAGCUGAUUUGUCCUAAUCGUUAUUGCAGGCUCUUGCUGCUAUCCCUUCAAUUAAUAGUGAAGUCGUACAGUUGAAGCUAGAUCGUGUGCGGACAUACUAUGAACUAUUAAACAUGCCAUUUGAGGUAAUAACUCAACUUUUUACUUGUAUCAAGGCUUAUGUUUUCUUUCAUGACUUUUCUGCUUUCUUUUGUCAAACAACACUAAUAUUAUCACUGUUGUACUACUCUUUACAGGCCAUGUUAGCAUUCAUCACAGAGCAUGAGCACUUGUUUACAGAUGCAGAGUGAGUUUUUUUUUUUUUUGGCAUUAGAUUUAAAAGUUAAUGCGCACCCCCUCUUAGUGAAAUUACAUUAUUCAAUUCUGCAGGUAUGCAAAUCUUCUGAAUGUUCAGGUGCCUGGGAGGGAUAUUCCUUUUGAUGCACGCGAUCGUGUGUCGGAGAUAUUAUCACGCUAGCUUGUUUAGCUUGUGCACAGUGAUGAAUCGCACAGUGGAAUUUCAGGUUGAUGUUUUUCAAGCUGUGGAGCUGAGCAGGCUCUUCAUUUUUUGUACGAUGCUGGCAUUUGUACAUAAUUCCAGGUGUAAUGGUGAUCAGUGUCGAUGAGGAAGCCAUUAUACUGAAAAUUCUAUGCCGUUUGGAACAAAUUUUGUGAGUAUGGUUUUUGGGGUUGUAGUAUUUGUCUGUUUAUAAUGAUUAGUGUAUUCUUUAGUAGCAUCAAUUGUUGGCUAUUUUUUUCUUUUUUUUCCCCCUUUUCUUUAACGGUUAUCAUUUUGUACGCAAUAAGUGAGGAAAUUUGUGCAGACUUGACCCGAAAAGCUAAUAUUUUGUUUUUUGAUCAGUGGCAGUUCACUUGUCACGGGCUUAGCCUUGACAAAAUAUCAGCGAACUUUACACUGGCAAUUUUCCAGAUAAAGAUGGGGAUAAUCCGUUUAUGUUGGUAGAGAUUUACAAACCAUUUGAUCAAAGUAGAAUUAUGCUCAAGUCAUCCUAACAUACUAAAUAAGGAUAGAUUAUGUAAAGCAUCCCAGACCAAGAAAUUUCAUAUCUGCAGGAAUAUCCAAGAAUGGAAAGGCCUUUCGACCCAAAAUACGUUUCCAUCCAAAAUGGUAGGAAAAAAAUUUUAUUAUUUCAGGGUUUGAUAGACAAGUUAGAACAUAAUAUUUACUCAAUUUACAAUGUUCAAUUUCUAAUGUUUGGUAUAAUCAAUAUUUAGAUGUUAGAAUGAAAUAUACUAAUUACAAAUUUGACUUAAUUCCCUUGGAUUAGAUUAUAGGACAUGAUACAUUAUAUUAGUUUCCGUUUUAUUUGUUCUGCAAUAGUAUUUGUCUAUUUACGUGAAGUUUUGAUAUUUUUGCUUUAAAAAUAAAUGAGGAUUGAUAUCAAAAUUCGUCAAUUAUAAUAACUGAUUCAUUCUAAUAUAUAGAUUUUUAAGUUAAAAUUAAAAUUAUAAAAUAUAAAUUACAUGAAACCAAACAAUUAUAAUUUAUUUUUAAUUUAUUUUCAAUUUUGACAUGAGAUUCAAAAAAUUCUUGCACAAUUGUUCAAAAGUCAAAGAAUAAAGUAUCUUAAAACAUUUGCUUCCUAGUAUAAAGGAACAAUUAUUCUAAAUACAAGGAAAAUUAAUUAUUAUGAAAAAUUACAUUCAAAUAUUAAUUGAACUUACAAAUAGCCAAAGAUAUGGUGAUGCAAUAUAAAAUUUAUGAGGAUAAAUUUGAUGUCUUACUAUUUAGGCAUUCUAAGAUGAAGGUGUAAAGAUCUUUCCCUAAAUUCUUUUUAAAGAAUGAGAUUCUAGAAAAAAAAUAGUUGGAAUGAGCAUUCUAGGAGGAAAAGAUUUUCUCACCUGAAUGAAUCAUACUAAACACUGAAAUAGAAUGGACAAGUUGGAAAAGUCUUUCCUUUCUAAUCUAUUCCUACGCACUAAACUGGAGGUAAAGUCAAUAGAGAAAAAAAAUAAAAUUGAAGUUGCUCUCUCUCUAGUUUAAGAAUUUUAAGUGAGAAAUGGGACAAUUUUAGACGUGAUUGUCAUCAUAAUUUUGCUAUCUACUGCAUGGAGGAUAAACUAGGUAUAUAAAAAAUUUUCCUUGAGCUUUGAUUUGCUCUUUCUAGGCAAAGCGGGAGGAAAAGGAAAAGUUUUGUAUCCUUCCCCUUAUCCCAAAAUUUUUUUAGUAGCCUCUUUUUCCUUACCUCCCAAAGUGCCCAAUUUUGUUUCAACCCUUUUCUUUUAUGCAUGUUAAGUAGACUGUAUAAACAUGCAGCAUUUUGAUUGUACAGUCGUCAUUGAUUGCCAUUAAUACCUUGUGUGACAAUUUACAAAAUUCUUGUCCACAGUCCGGACCAAACACCGAGAGUCCACCCCCAAUACGUACAGUGCAUAUGUCCAACAAAUUAGAAAGGGGAGGGGGCAGCUUGGCUCAGCACAAUGAAAGCAUUACAGGCCAAUUCCAGAUCAAAUAAAGAUGUAAAUGAGCUGCCAAAGCAAAUUUUGGUUAAGAGAAUUGUCAAGUCAUGGCUGAGUAAUUAAGUAAAGCCACUUUUGCUGUGAGAGACACUUCCGGUUUGGACGUCUUGGCCAAGAAGAGUUUGAGUUAGCAUUUGACGAUUACCCACAUGAUUUGGUCAAUUGGAUUUAUGGGCUUGACUUGUAGUAAGACUGUAACAAGCAUCGCCUCAUUCCAAUCUUAAAAGAAAUAGAGAUUUAAAAAAAAAAAAAAAAAAAGCAGUAUCCUGUUAAAAUCGAUGCAUGACCUAUGCUACUUAGCGUCAACUUUGUUUAUAUGGCUAAUUGAUCAAAGGCUUGAAAAAGCAGGGUAAGUAAUUGGCAGGGUAAUUUCAUUUGUUAUGCUUUAUUGCUUGGAAUUCGUCAAAAUCUUUUACAUCAGCCAAAAAUAUAUAUAUAUAUAUAUAUUUCCACCUCAUACCCGGGACAGUACCUGUAAAAGGAGUGUGAUUGUAUUUGGCAGCACAGAACAGAAGACCUACUUAACCAUGUAAAGAAAUGACAAGAAUCCUAAAAUUGUUUUGUAUAUACAUCCUGCUUCACAGUGCAUCAACAGCAGCUUGAAAUGCUGAACUCAACUUCAGUGUCCUGUUCGCCAAGUUGCGGAUGUCUUCUCUCGAAGACUCCACCGAUAUUCGACUCAGUUCUUUCAAUCCUCCACUGGAUACAAAAUCCUUAGCAUUGUAUUCUGUGGAGAUCAGCAAGUUCACAUGCAAUGUCAGUUUACAUUGUAGUCUUGCGAACGUGGUAAUAAUGUCCAUCAAACUUGGAGAAACAGAGACAAGCACAAAAUGGAUUCUGUGAAACAUCAGAUGAUAGCUGGAGAAUGCACUUGACAGCAUUUUGCAGUUAAAAUCUGCUAAGUCCAUUUAUGGUCAACUUCCAUUUAUGGAUUGUGCAACAAUCCUAAGUCCUUAGAUAAUCAAUUACACCAUGAACUGUUCAAGGAAAUAGUUACCAUUUUGUGCCAAAUGACAAAGAGCAAGUUCUAUGUGACGCCGAGCUGAACUAGAAGUGGUAUUGGAGUUGGCGAUCAACCAUGCUAGAGCAUUAUCUUCCACUAAUGGUGAACGCCCUCUCCUAUUUCCUGCAGUAGAUAAAGCUUCAGAUGCAUGACCUCUGUAAUAUAGUAUACAUGUUACAAUGGAGAUAAUAGCCAAUUUUCAAACCUUGAAGUAUUCCUCGAGAUUCACACUUUGCAAAGUUAGCCAUUCCUCUGGCUACCUGAGCUAUGACAUCAAUAUUCCCAUAUCUAGCCAUUUUGACAAGAGCUUUAAUGGCCGCAUCUUCCCUCAGGAUUACAUGUAAGCUUUCUGUUAUAUCAGGAGCAUAAGACAUCAGUAACUGAUACCUUCUUAUCUAAAGCCUCAGAAGCAUUUUUCUUGUCCAAGAUAUUUAACCAAACAAGUACAAUGUAUCCAUUAUGGCAUUUUAAAACUUUUAAACUGAAUUUCAACCAUACAAGAAGACUCAGAUAAACUAGUAUAUACUCCAGCUGGAGAUGAAAUAGAUAAAGCAAUAAAAUGUCAUCCAUGGGCAAUAAGAUUACCAUUUCCACACAAAUUUGCAAUUGCUCCGGCUACCAUUCUCAGAGUUUGUGGGUCAUCACUUUUGGUAGCUGUAUUUGCAAGAAGCCGAACACCAGCUUUACUUGCUAUUAGGCCUUGAUUCAACUCUGAAGAAGUUAAAUGUUACAAAUAAGUCACAUCUUACCAUACAUAUGUUAAACAAAUCGGUCACAUCUUACCAUACAUAUUUUCAUGUACCAAGAACAUACCACAAAAGCCUCGUCUCAAAAUUAAAACACAAGACAUACUAACACAAACAUGCUCAGGGAAAAAUUAUAAGGGAACUAGAACUAAAUCCUGCUUAUCUACUUCUACAUAUGGAAGGAACGGAAUAUCUGUAAACACGACCAGUGUUUUUGUAAGAAAAACAAAAUUCCUCCAUUUUGAGAAUAUUUGCAAAAUAUAAAAAGAAAUAAAAAUAGAGAACUUGAUUAUCUUGCAAGUUAUGAAAGGCAAAUAUUUAGGGAACAUAUAGAUGAGAACAGACACGACGUUUGAGAGAGAGAGAGAGAAGAAACUAAGCUAAAAGCCAAGUAGAAAUUGCAUUAUACGCCUGGGGUGGUUUUAUGAAUUAAGAAUCUUAUUCAGUUCAGUAUGGAGUUAUCUGUCAUUUUGGGGAAGAAGAUUUUUGUGGCUACUCUCUCUGUUAUCUCCGUUCUUCUGUUUUUCAGUAACACUAAGAUCCAGGAAUGACCUGGCUGUAAUGUCAUUAGAGCUUCUUAGGUAUAACGUCAGAAUCUGUCCCUCAAAUGCAAUAAUGCUGGUUAUCAGCUAACACACAUGCCAAAAUAUCUACCAGCAUCAUACCAAUAUUUGAAUCACGUCAGUUGGAUUAUAAUUUGAUCAACUGUUUCACUCGUACCAAAUCUAAAUUGUUCUCAGCUGGUUGUAGCCAAAGUAAAGCAGCAGAAAGUUAGCCAUACUUCUCGCAUGAGACUAAACUCCUUAGCAGUGUUCCAUUAAUCAGAACCUCUAAACACAACCCACUGAAAGGGGCUACACAGAUAUGAUUCUACUAUUUCUUAGUGUUAGACUGUAAGUAACAUUGUUAGAAUGCUCAUACUUGCUUUUUUUCAUGUAUGCAACUAUAAUAAUAUAGAUAUAUGCAAACCAAAAGAAGUAUUAAAUCAAGAGUUCCAUUAUUUCCCAAAAGACUGCAGCUGUUAAUUAAUUAGAUGGACAUUUACCGGCCAAAAAACCUCAUCUAGCAAAUAAUACUUUUCCAUAUUACUUCCUUUUCUUCUUGUUACCUUUUGUUCAAUCUAUUUCUCACGAAGCAAUGCAUCUAGGAGAAAUGCUUAUUGCCACUUAUAUGGCAAACUUUCUUGCCCAAACAACAACUUAGAACCAAUUAUCAGAAAGGUGAUAAGAACUUAAAAUGCUGCAAGGGAGCUCCUGUUGAUUGAAGGGGAGAGAAUAACUCACCAACAUCUAAAUCUGAGUACAUUACACAGAUAUAUAUUUACAACAGAAGACAGCCAAGAUGUACAAAUACCAUUCAUGGCCAAAUUGGCAAUAGCACCAGAAGCCACCCUGAGUAUGGUUGUAUUCUCUGAUGACUGCAGCAGCAUGAGCAGUGCAUCCAGACCCCCUUCAUGAACAAUCCUCUCUUGGUUGCUCUCUAUAUUGAGUGGUAAGCAUGAGAAAGGAACUAAAGAUUUUGAUCUUUGUCAAGUUUGAGGAUUGCAUGAUGCGUGCAGUAAGUCUAACAUUUGUAAUCUAUGCCAAAAAAAACUAUUAAUUCUUGCAUUUGUGAUGCUGUCUUAAAGAUUUACAAGAAGUGCAAUGGAUAUCUGAAUUUGAUUCAAGUUCUCUUUGUGCCUAUAGAACAUUAAAUUUUACUAAAAAAGCAAAAGUUAAUUAAAUUUUCACUUGAAUCUCUUUAAGUUUAGAUUUAACUAGACUGUUAGCAAGUUUCAUUUUUCAAAGUAAGAUAUAUUUUGAAGUGUACUAGUGCCUGAACAAAUUUGCCAAAUUUAUUAACCAUGUUUAACGGUGAGAAUCAGUAUUUUUGAAAAUAAUAACAAACCAUUUUCCAGACCUCGGAGACUCUCACUACUUUUUCUUACUUCAUUUGGAACCUCAGGAUAGGAGAGCUUUUAACUCAAUUUGCUGAAAAACUUAACAAAACAGUUGAAAAAAAAUGCUGCUCUGCCUUUUGGAAAAAAUGCUGUGAAAUAUUGAUAUCAUUGGGAGUUCAGGCUUUGGAUAUUUGUAUCCAAAGUUUAUAACGUCAAAACCAAGCAUUGAGCACCGGAAUAGUGAUAUAGAAAGUUGAAAUAUUAAGUAAAACGAUAUUUUAUCUGAAAUGUACAAUAGGUUUUACAAUAGCUUGUGUCUUCCAAUAGAUUUGUCAAAUGUAGAUGAUUUAAGUGGGCGUGAUUUUCAGUUCUUAACUGGACCUUCUUUCCAACACUAAGUACCAUCCAGAAGUCAAAGAUGAGAUAACUAUUUUAAGAUUUUAGGUAAACUUUUGAUGAAUGGAUUAUGACCCAACGUCAAUAUAAAGAUUUUUUUUUUUUUUAUUUAUUGCAUGCAGUACAUCCAUCAAGAACAGAAUUGCUUUACCAUUAGGUCCUAAUUGAGUGAUUUUGAAAAUAUUCAGUAGCAUGUAUGUGGGUGCAAGUCUUUGUCCAGAGAGUAACAUAAUGAGAAACGCUAAUCCUGCGAGUAUUGCCAGAAUUUAUGGAAACACAGUCAGAGAAUCUGCCACCCGGUCCUGAGAAAUUACUCUGCAAAUGUUCAUGACUAUCCACCACUUUAGACAUCAGAUUACUGAUUAUCCAAGCAUUCCCGACUGGUCAAAAGCUUCUUUUUGUGUUAUGUCCAGUUUCAUCCAGUUGUUGUAUUUGUUAUAGUUUUUGGUGUACAUUUACAUUAUAUGUUGUAUUGAAUAUAUGUGGAACAUUUACUAUGUAGACCAACUUUUCAACAUAAUGUAAUUGUACACCAAACAACGCAAUAAUUUCAAUAACAGCACAACACCCAAUGAAAGAACAAUUGCAUCUGCCCCAAAUGACUCUGUAUGGUAUGCAUGUAGGUAGUCAAAGACCUUGACACUGAAGAGUUAGAAAUAUUACCAUUAUCUUCAGUUAGCAAAAGGAUCAAUAACUAAAAGUUACCCAUCAGAGUUGAGGAAAAGAUAUGCAACUUAGACAGAAAAAGAACAAAAAAGAAAAGAAGAAGAAGAAGAAGAAGAAAAAUAGCCACAAACUUUAAAACUCAAAACAGAAGCUUUUGACAUUCAAAAUUAAUAUCAAGUAUAUUUCUGUGCAUACCUUCAGCGGCAAGAUUGGCUACCACUUUCACCGCAUGAAUUUGGACAUCCAACUCUUCACAUGUUAGCAAGGAUAAUAUCUUUUGGAGGCCAACUGAAAGUGAAAAGAGAGAGAGAGCAAGAGAAUCAUCUUUCAAGCAAGACCAAUGGAACUUUCAUUUGCCUAUUGUCAACAGAAUUUAAUUUAUUCUUAUUAUGCCAAUUUAGCGUAGGAGGUCCCUAAGUUGUCAGAUCACAGACCUUGGCAUCACAAUCCUCCUACUGCUUCUCGUUAUAUGCACUCGAUGUCAGACUAUUGCUCUAAAUGUAAAAGAUUGGAUAAUCACCAUCACAAACUCCCAAAGGCCUAUCUAAAUAUGGUGCAAUAAGAUGACACGCCUGAACAGACAAAAGCCAGAGAAACUUACCUUCUUCACAUAUCUUCGCAAUACUGCUCCUUUGGCCAAAUGACGAAGGUCCUCUGUUCAAUUUUUCUUUUGUAUAUGACCUCUUCUCCUGCAAGUCGCAGAAAUUUUAACCACCUAAUUUUUCCAGGGAAUAAGAGCCCAGAAGUUGCAACUGACCUCAAACCCAUCUUCAGAUUCUGGCACAACCUUCUUGAUAUUAACCAGAUCAUUUUCAGCAGCCUUCCUUCGCAUUUCCUCUACUUUGAGUGCUUGCCUCAGGGUAUGAAUUUCAUCAUUUAAUCUACCCUAAAAAUCAAUGUUGACAGGGAUUGUAGCAGAUUAAAUGAAGUCUACACCAUCAAGAUGGUUAAUAACUUAAUCCUUUUCCUUGUUUGUGUUACGAGUAGAUCAGAUUAUUCUUUUUGUUUUCAUUCCUUAUGUCUUCAUAUUCUUUUUACACCAUUUUAAUUUUAAAAUUCUCAAAAUUGAGAGCAAGCUGGUAGAAGUGCUGUUCUAAAAUUUAACCUGAACGAGAAGUUCCUUUCAGUGGAUCUAGGAACAAAGGUAUUAAUAUAUAGCAUGAAUCUCAUUUUCCAGUGAUACCUUUUCUGCUUCCAGAUCAUUGUGUUCUUUUUUCAGAGAUUGCAGUUCAUUGCCAGUUGCCUCAUGCACUUGAUGCAUUUCUUGUAAUCUAGACUUAAGCUCUCUGAUCUCUUUUUGCUCCUCAAUCUAUCAAAAAAGAGAAGCAGACAAAAAAAGGAAAAAAAAAUCACCAGGGAAAAAUUGAUUCCAGGAGUUAAAUGGCUGUAGAGAUGAAAAGGUAAUCAGUGGCCUUAUGACAAGUUUAUAUCCAUUCAAACAAUAAUCCAUGAGAACCUGGCAUUAAGCAAAACAAGUAUCAGGUGGAGGAUAACUCUUUUCAAUUAAAGGCAUAACAGUUACCUGGACUGAGUUUUGCUGCCCACUUGAGAGCUUUCUUAAUAUGUUUAACUGCUCUUGUGCAUCAAUAUACCGUGCAUGCUCUUCAUUGAUCUCCCGAGUCAAAGAAGCUAUUUUCCCUUCAUACAUCUGAGUGGUCUCUGCAAGUGUCUUCUGGUAUCCAGAGUUUUCCAUCUGAACAUGCUAAAAAGAAGGAAAAAAAAAAGGAUCAAAUCUGUUUCUCUGCUAAAACUACUAGGAAUAAAAUACUAAAUGUUCUUCAAAGAUUUAUCACAACGUUACAGGAUCAGCAAUUCCUCAAAAUCAAUUUGAGCAUGGAGAAUGUAGAUAUUUAACCUGCAUUAAGAUCUGAUUAUCAGUUAGUUUUUUCUUCAGUUCUUCCAAAUGUCCUUCAGCACUUUCAGCUAGUGCAUGUGAAUUUUCUGAUUGUUUCAUCAGAUCAGCUAAUUCCUUCUCAUACAUUUGGGUGGUAUCCGCAAGCACUUUCUGAUAUGUAGAAUUUUCUAGCUGCUGUUGCUACUAACAGACAAAACAAAAACAUUAAUUUGUCUAUUCACACCAGAAAAUAUGACAGAAGAAAAUUUCAGUGCUGAACUUAUUAGGAAGAAACUAAGGAUAGAAAAGAGAACCUAACUUAGAUAUGACUUUACAAUUGGUGGAUGUAAAUCCAUAUCCAAAGCUUGGAUGAACAAACAAGUUGCUAUGUAUAUUAUGGUCAAUAUGAGGUCCUUUUGAUAUUCACAGUAGCACUACCAACACACUUGAAGGCCAGAAUCCUAGCAUUGAGUGGCAUACCAGUGCAGGGUGGAGAGAGAGAGAGAGAGAGAGAUCAUUUACUGAAACUGUUCUUCUGUAACAUGGUUGUCCUUUUCUCUCAAAAAUAUUUCCAAACUGAUUCAGUUGACAGCAUAGAAAUCUCCAACCAAUUCAUGAUUUUACAUGUCACUUGACCGUGAUCACCCUACAUUAUGUUCAAAUUUUCAGAUAUUUCCAUGGUUUUUAUAGAUAAUUAAUUUGGAGUCUAUAUUCCAUUUUCCUCAGAUAGUUUUACUGAUAUGGUAAUGAUAGAAAAGAUAUUUAGACUCAGCGAUGAUCUGCCUCCCUCAUUCUUAAAAAUACCAGAUAGAGAACAAGUUAAUCUCAACUUGAUUUGUAAUUUUCUCCACCAAUAAAGUCAGAUCCUUCUGCAACCAUGUAAGGCAAAAUCUCUCCUCAAAUAUGCCUGUCAGUCUGGGUUCAACUAGCAUUCAUGCCUCUCAGUUACAAAAUUAGGUGUUUUCUUGAAUCAAUUUCUCUUGCUGUUCAUGCUAAACAGAAAGGCAUAUGUUUUGUCCAAAUCCUGAAUCAUCUAAAAACUUGCACUGCUCUAAUUAAUCCAGUUCAAAUAAGUUAAAUUUCAUGUGAAACAUGCCCCAUCUUGUCAAAAAUCAUAUUUUGAGUUAUUGUGAUCUAAUGUCCUUAACAACGACAUACUUGUAUCUUACAUGCUCUAGCAGUUGCAGAGAGCCCUGGCCCCUUUAAUUGGUUCAUUUCUAUUUAUCUAACACAUCUUUUGCUUAUAGUAGUAAGUUAGAGAUUCCCUCUUGCUGUCACCUUCAUUUACAUGUUCCAAAGCCCUACUAAGUCAUUUUAGUGCCGCAAAGCUUCUUUGCAUAAAGAAGAAAUAUGUACUUUGUUCCGCAAAGCUUCUUUGCAUAAAGAAGAAAUAUGUACUUUUUUCCCUUCACUUCUAAAUGUGAAAACAAAGUUCAUCAAAUAAAGCUCUACAACCACAGAACUCAGAUGCAUAUCAACUACCAUAACACCAUAAACUACACAACUCAUGUUUUUAAAAUCUACUUUUGAUUAUUGGUUCUAGAUGGAGAAAGGCUUAUUAUGUGAUGAGCAUUUGUGCAACACCACUUCACAAAAUCACCAUUUUCAAGUUUGUAAACACCUUUUCUGCAAGCGAGAAAAGACCCCAUAGCAUUAGUAUCAAUAAACAUCCAAGUGAAGUGGAGUAAAUGGCAGAAUUGUUGAUAAGUUCUUUUGCAACAAAUCCAAAACAAAAGAUACCUUGCUGAGCUUUAAACUCAUUUCUAGGCUAGCAACUUCAUCUCUCAUUACGUCAUUAUAAUUUUUCUGCUGAGACAAAUCAUCUAAAACAUCUUUCAACUUCUGUGCCAACUGAGAAUUCUCCUUCUCCAGCAACUGCAGUCAAGUAACGUUAUUGAGAAGAUUUCAUCUAAAGUGGAAACUAAAUAAAGAAGCUGCUGAAACAGAAAAAUACAGCAGAACCUUAUCUAGCAUAUAGUAUCUCACAUUAAGCCAAUCAAGAUAGAAUGCAAAGAGAUCUCUGGGAUUUCAUGUUGAGUAACCAUGAAGUAGAUGAUUUCAUUACCUUGUUAUUCUUCAUACUCUUUUCAAGUUGUGCAAUCUCAUCAUGCAUCAGAUCAUUAUGGUCUUUUAGGCUUUUGAGUUCUUUUACAAAAUCUUUCAUCCUGGAUUCUAAAGAAGCAUUAUCCUGCUCUAAAAACUGCAAUGGAUUACAUAUAAUGAGAAGCUUAACAUUGCAUUUUUUAAAGAUGCUGCUGAACCAAAGCUAUUUGACUAAUGAGCUCAACAAGAGUUGGUGUACAUAUUGGAAAUGGAAAGCAAACACAAAAGGACAAACAAGUACCUCAGACCUGGAAGCCAAACUCUUUUCUGCUUCAGCCAAUGAAUUUUGGUAUUCUCUAAGCUUGAUUUCCAUUUCACUUCUGUAAUUCUCCCUCAACUUUUGCUGCUUAUCCACUUCUUCAGUAAGGUGGUCAACUUGAAUCUCAAGCUUCCGGCAUAAGCUUUCAUAAUCAAAUUCUUCUUUUAGCUUUACUGCAUUUACAAUUUUCAUGGCCUGCAAAAGUUAGUAAAAUUACAGAUCAUGUACACUGAAAUACAUAUAAGAAGCUGCGAACAAGAUUGCCCACAAAAUAACCAGAGUACACAAUCACUCAUUUUGCCCCACUGUUGUUGCUGUUGACAACAGCUUCAUCACUCAUGGCCCAGAAAUAAGCAGGCAAUUCUCCACAAGGACAAAAUUGAAGCAAUAUUAUGUUGUUUUUUGCUUGAUGUGUACAAAUUUUACACGGAGAUGUUAAAGCAUUCACAGUCAAUAUAUAAGAUGAAGAGAUAACGAAUCUCUAGGUUUUGUUUGCAAAUUAGAGACGGAAGAAGAGGGAAGAAGUGGGCUUUGUAGGAACAGAAUGAAUUAACAUGUAAAGCUGAGAAACUCCUAAUCAAAUUCAUCAAGAAUAGAGACAUGAAAUAUAGUCCACCAGGCAAAUGAAUGCAACAUGCUCUUCAAGGAAUCCACUUUACUAGAUGAGUUAUAAUUCUUAUGGCUAUUAAAAGUGAUUUCAGGUACCAGAAGUGAUGUAUGAUAAAUCUAUUUGGUUAAAAACACAGAGGCUACUCCAUGUUCCACCAGUAUUUGUCUCACAUGAAACAUAAUGCUAUAGUUUUUUACUGCAGAAAAUAAAAUUCAGAAAAGGACAUGAUGGCGAAAAAUGUCUUGGAAUAUGUAAACGUGUAUGUUUAGAAUUUCGUACUCGUGAACACCUUGGCAACUAUAUACUCAACUCAAAUUGGAAAUUUCAAGCACAUUGUCAUGGAGAACCUUCAAAUGGAUAGGAAUUGUAACUUACCCGUUGUCCAAACAUUAUAGUGCUUGAGGUUUCUGCAUGAUGACGAGAAGAUGGCCCUAUAGUUACUAUAAGUGAAGUCCUCGCUGAACCUGUUUGUCAAAAUCACGUAAAUUUUGGCACAAAAAACCAACGGAGUUGUAUAGGAAAUGAAAAGUUUAGCUUCGAAAAUUGAUGAAUAUCUUAUGAUGCAAUAGCAAUAUCAAACUGUCAACAUUAAGAACACAGACUCUUUAAUAAACUAAGAGCGCUUCAUGUCAAUAACUUCCAUCUUGUAAUCAAUAUCAACCCAUUGGUCCAUGCAACCUUGUGUCCUCCAAAAGUGAAUUAUACAAACUCUUUCUUUUUUAUCAUCGUCUCCACAGGUAUUGCAUGUUUGAUAAUACAUUUCCACUGUUAUCGAUUGAAAAUGAGAAGUUACCAUAGAAUUUUCUUUAGUUCAACAAACCUGAGAAUUGCUUAUGCAGUUAUAAAUGACAGAAUAUGGCAGUAACGUUGUUUGCGUGUUGUUCUCCAAGCUACAAAAAGAUUAGCCAUUGUCUCUCUCUCUCUCUCUCUCUCUCUCUCUCUCUCUCUAGGGGAAUUUGUGAGAAUAGUCGUCAAUGCAAAGUGAAAUUACUAGACAGAAAAUGUUUCAGAACAAUAAUGACUCUCAUAAAAAAUACAGCACUCAAAAUUCAGAUCUUACCUCCAAAUGAAUCACGAAGCAAUCUGGUUAGUUUAGAAUCUCUUGUGGGAAUAUGAGGACUAUUUUCAGCCAGUGCAUUAAUACAUUUUCCUAAAGAAGUAAGGGACAGAUUGAUAAAUUUAGCCUCUUCACGCAAGUGACCUUCACUCCCUGGAACAUGAAAAAUGACACAGAGAAAUUAGUGCCAUUAAGGCAAUCAACCAGAUGAAACAACCAGGCAAGCCAGUGAGCCCCGAGUAUGGACUUGACCAUGUAAACACACCCAUAAACCUUGUUCUAUCAUUUUGUCGUCCAAAGAAAAAGAAAACAGAUAAAGAUAAAUGAUGAGUAAGAAAAGAGCUUUAUUCAGCUUUGGCGUAGAGAAUAUACCAGAUUUAUCCAAUCGCUCAGAUCCUGCAAGAUCAACUAUGAGCAGCUUGCUUUUCCGAAUUGUUGGAACAUGAUAUCCUGGUCUACCUGUUUUUUUAUCUACUUCUGUUUCCCGUAAAGAGAUGUCCAAUCCUUCUUGCUCGGGUACAGAUCUACGGAUAAAUACCUUGGGAAGAAGUUAUGUGUCAGUAGCUUACUAAAGGGACAAACAAAUUUUCAUGAUUAAAACAGAAUAUAUGGAAGCAAAAUGCAGUGGAAAAUCCUUGUUAUUAAAUGUGUUCUCGAAUAUUUUUAAAGAACUACCAAAUUGAUGAGGAAAGUUACAAUCUAUAAUUACCAUAAGAAUUGCAUGGCUGCGUGAUGAUUCUGUAUUUAAUUUUGUAUUAGCUGCAUGACGGUUUGCUUCACCCAUGUGCAGUAGUUGUACAAAUUGGUCCAUGCUAUUUAAUUUUACAACAGUGGCACCAGGGACUGAUACUUCUCCAGUCCUUCCAUCCUCAACGAUCGGAUGUUUGUCUUUUCAGGUGCAAGCAAAUCUUGGAUAGAUUCCAUAUAAAGCUGUGAAACAACGUCUUCAGUGGUUAGCAGUGCAAAUCAACUAUUGGAUUGAGUCGUGUGACCAACAUGUUUGAAUACUUAACAAGUAAAAAAAUUUCAACACCAAGAUGACAAAUGUGUACAGUCAAAGUCUGAGAGUAUAAAAGACUACGAUCAAAAAAUUUAACUGAAAUGAUAACAAUAAUAUUUGGAAGUAUCCGAAAUGAAACAACAAAAAGAACAAACAGGUUAACAGGUUCAUCACCAUAAUUUUCAGUACCUGAAGGUAUGAAAUUUCCACACAAUCAGAUGUGGGAGAUGUAUUUGUAGUUAUGUCUUCUAAAGCUCUAACCAUGAUACCACGCUUGGAAUCAUCGUCUUUACCCACUCUACCAAGGGUAUAAGUCUUCCCAGUGCCUGUUUGACCAUAUGCCAUCACUGUCCCGUUGUAUCCAUCCAACACACUCUGCAAAAGUGAACGGCACCUCCUCUUUCGUGUCAAUAUCUUGUUCCAAUCAUCUCAAUAAGUUCAUUUCUUUUACAAGAAUUUAAAUGCUUGCUUUAAAGAAAGAAAAAUCAAAAUUUUUAUGAAUGGAAAGAAUUACCCUUUAAUUUUUGCAUGUUUAGCAAUGAUACCUCCACAAUUCUGUAUGGUAGAUAAGUUGCUGAAAGCAUAAAAAAAAAAAAAAAAAAGACUCGCCUAAAUAUAAAGUACAUGAAUUUUGCCAAUGUAUCCAUAUUUUGAAAAGAUAUAUUUCCAGUUUCGAUACAAAUUCUCUCAGAAGCUAUGAACUGGAAAGAAUAAUGUAUGAGCUGAUGUUUUCAAUAGCUGGGGGUUCAUACAAUGACGACUAGGAUUAUGGGUAUUAUACCCCCAAAAAGACCCAACUCCUUAUCGAGGCAUAAGCCCCAAAACCUGCUAAGUAAUAUACCCAUUCUCUAUUUUUUAUUUGAGCUGGCUGGUCCAGCAUUUAUACAGCGUUUAUACAGAUUCUCACCUUCCUUCGCAAGCAUAUUUGUGCUAGUAGACUCUUAGAUUAAUUACAGCGGUAGAAAUACAAAAUAUAUCUGCCAUACUGAACUGAGAAAUAAAUUGAAUGAAGCUGAAAAAGUUGCUGCCGAGACAUAAAAAGCAGAGCAUCCGAGUACAAACUUCUAAUAAAUGCAUGCAACCUUUUCUUUCCUAAUUUCUUUAUUCCUGAAUUGAUCAUAUCACCUAAGCAGUCUUGAUUCUUCCAUCUUUUACACCUUUCAGUUAAAUUCACAGUUAAAAUAACAUUAUACAUUUUUAGUAUGAAUUAUUCCAAUUUUUCUCUUAAGCAAAAUGAACUGAGUAUUGGAGAAAAAUCAGAGAAACAGAGUCACAAACAGAUAAUGGAUGUAUUCCAAAACCACGAUGCUUUGCGCUCUGCUGAUACUUACCUCAACAACCGAUUUAGCAACCACCUCAUAAACACGCUUUUGAGACGCACUUGUUGCAAAUACUUCAUCAAACCUAAAAUACUCAGCACUCCAAUUGUUUUUUCUCAGCUUUAACUUCUUGAGCUGCAGAACGAAAGACAUCUUAACUUCUUGGAUUAAAUAUACAGUGUGCAUGGUGAACAGCCACGAGAAGGAAGCAAUGAAGCAGACAGGCACACACAGCGAUUCCUGCACUCGGUUAAAUAAACUAACGCAGACAAAGAACGGGAGUGGCUGAAACAUAAGGAAAUGCAAUCAUCUUAAAAACCAUAACUUGUAUUUAUGAUCAGCACAAAAAGGAUGUUUGUUAUAUGUCAUAGACUCGUAGUUGCAUACGUCUGCAUAUUAAUCACCUCUGGCUGCACUUCAACACAAUCAGGAUAAUCAGCAUCUGAAAGAUCUGCUGCAAUUCUUGGACGAAUUCUGACAGCAACUCUUACUCUUCCAGGUUCUGCAGAUAUUUCAACAUUUUUAAUCAAUUUCUUACGCUGCAAACUGACUAUAAACCAAAAAAAAAUCUCAUAUCAGACCAAGGAUCAAACACCCUAAAAAAGAAAGGCUGUAAAUGUUGUAAUCAAUGCUUGAUUCGAAACCAGGAUAUCUUUACACGUGGCCACAUACAGAGAUGUUAUUCACCUUCUUCAGAUGGUUUAAAUGAAGUUUCUUGUGUACUCAUAUUUAUGCUGCUAAACUUCUAGUAAAAAUGAUAGAGUUCAUCUAGUAACAAGCAAAGAAGGGAUCAUGUGCAUUGUGCCCAUACUGAAAUCAGAUACAAGUUUUAUAUGGCUCACAUUUACGUUUUUUUAACUUAGAUUCCUUAAGGGGAUCUUCUACAACAAGCAAUAAAGAUUAAAGACUACUGAUCGCUGGUGUAUAUUCAACCCUCAAAUUAAUGGCCAUAUUUCCUGUUCAUAUACUACAGAAAUAAGACUCUAGAACCACGUGCCACAAGCAUGAGGGCUUCAGGCAGAAAACAAGUGGAAUUUCCCCAGAGAACAUCCUUAACACAAAAUAAGUAGUUAGAAGAUCAUGAGAAGUUAAUCUGCAAAACUAGAAGAAUGAUGAGGCAGAUUAGUCUAAGACCUCUCCCAAAUUACAGUUCAAACAGUAUAAUUUCCGUUGACUCAGCGACUUCAAACGUGUAAUUCCAAAGAAGACGUGCUAGAAAACAUUUGGCACUGCUGGCCACAGUGCAGUACUUAAAGAGUAAAUACAUGCAUCAAAUAAGCUGGUGAACAAGGAGAUGAACCCUUGUUGAAUCAGUUUCGUUGCGUAGAUAGUAAUAAGGUCCUGGGUUCGAGUCCCACCAGUGCACCAGUUAUCAGCUAAGCAUGUAGAACAAGUUUACAUUGUAGACCAAACAAGUUGCCCGUGAAACAGGGAUGAGGACGAGGAAAAGAAAAAGGGGUUCUCCGAUAAAGUUUUGAUCUUUGUUUCAGUGCACAUCAUAACACAAACCCAGAAAACAAAACUCCAAAAAAUCGACCAAAUUAUUAUUCCAGGGAUUGCAAACACCGGACUCAUACAGUCACAAUUCACAGGGCUUCUACUCUGUAUGGAAUCGGUCACUGAAGUAUUCGCACAAGAUGCUUUACGGCUUGUACAUAUCAAGAGUUGUACCUGAGAGACUAUAUAAUCAUUUCCUGAUUUACAAAGGACUAGGGAACUGAAAAGAGACAUGGAAAAACAAACCCGGAUCGUUGGAAAGACAAGAGGAGGAAAAAGGCGAAGGCGAACGAGUCCGAGAACUGGGAGUCAGGGAACGAGAGCGUCUUGAAGUAGGAAUACCGUUAGUAGAAGAAGACAAUGAAGUAGGAAUACUUGAACGAGAACUUCUUGAACUAUUCACAUUACUCGCAGCAGAUGCAGAAGCAGAAGUAGAGAGAGGAGGCCUCUCCGACCUGUGUGACGAUGACGGCCUUCCCACAGAUGCAGUAGUCGAAGAAGACGACGCCAUUCAAUUCAAUCGGUAUUCCUGGUAGCAAGAUUGAACUCAAUCAAUCAAUAAUGUUCUACCACUCUGCAUAGCAGCAGUAAGCAGUAUUUGAAAGGGGAAAAAAGAAAGAAGAAGAAGUUGGUUUCAGUUUCACAAAUGGGACGGAAGAAUAUUGGAAAAAUGGGAAAACAAAAUGGAGAAAUGGGACGCGUCGUUGAGGCCGGCACGAUUGGAGGAAGAUCUCGUCACAGAUCAUACAACUAAUACUUCAGAGUUCCGAAAGGGACUGCCAUUGGAUUAUAUUGUUAACUAUUUUGCAAAAUGGAAUAAAAAUAAGCUUUUUAAGUUCCCGCGUAAUUCCGGUUCCGCUCCUUGCCUGGCCAUAUGUCAGUACACACUGUACACAAUUUUUUGUACGUUCUGUUCUCAGACAAUGCAACCAAUUGCCUACCAAAUGAGUGCGUUUCAGUAUGAUUUUGGGGGAUUAAUGACUGCAAUUUCUACAGUAGACUCUAGUCAGUUUGUUUCUCCGGCAUUACUCGGCGCUGAUAAUGAUAUGAUGGAAUUUUUACAUUCAGAUGAAUGAAUGGAAUGGAUGUAAAGGAGAAGAAUGAACCGCUUCUCGACUUUGAUACCAAUAUAUGUUUUGAUGCUACAUGAUUACCCUUCAAGGCAACCUUUUGGCUUUCCCCACAUCAUCCUCCAAUUGAAAAUUUGUCAACUUUCUAUCUUUCAGCCGUCUCAAGUAAGUGAAGUCAAAAUUCUACAACGAUCAUGGAUACUUUACAUCUGCCGAUCGUUACAGCUAAAUUAACAGAUCUAUGAGGUUUUUUUUUUUUUUUAGGUUUGACAAUUGGUGAAGCCAAAUCUGUCACGAUAAUUUUUUUCUUAGUGAAUCAAAGAUGAUAGUAUAAUCUUUACCCUUAAAAGGUCCAUUUCACUCAUGCACACUACAUUGAGAAUCAAAAUGUUUCGUCAUGUUGUAUCCCUACAGUACACAGAGAGGUAGGACAACAUGUGAACCUCAACAUGGGUUGCCGGCCGACACAGGUUGUACUGUCAUCUCUUUCUUCAAUUAGGAUGACAUUGACCACGUUAAUGCAUUUCACACACAAAUAUCUUCGCCUUCUUAUUCUGCUCAUCCUUCUAAUUUGCCAUUCACGAACACCUUCAAGUUACCUUUUUCUUCUUUUCUUUUUUCCAAAUGGUGCAUUCUCUGGCUUGCCCCAGACAUCAGGAACAAGGCAAAAAUUUGCUAGCAUGAGAUUGUAUGUAUAAAACUCGUUUCUGCACCGUAGGUGAUAUGAACUUAAACGAGAAUCUGGUGAAUCAUCCUCACUGCAUCUACCGUUGUGUGCGAAAUCAUAAUAUACUAUCUUUGCCAUUUGGUUGGUAUGCUACAAAAUGCAUGACUUGCAAGAAUUGCAUCCGAAAUCUGAGUCGAUAUUUGUCAUUUACAUAUCAACAGUAGACGUCCUGGUAUUUUGCCACUCCUGGUAUAAGAAGUAUAAACAAUUUUCAACAUGUAUCAUCUGACCCGCGGCAAGGACUCUCCACUUGAAAGAAGCUCUAGACACCCGAGCCGAACCCCAGGCAAACUUGACUUGCAGCUGCAGGAAAUUCUACUUCCAUCUGUUUCAGCAUUAAACAGUGCAAGACCAACUCCCGCCAAGUAGACAGACAGAUGUCCACAUUCAACUUUUGAGGUGAACAGGCGAUCCAAAAAUAACUGCAAGCUCCAUCAUUUUGGAAAUCAGUUUCAGCUCUUCCAACCCAGUGCUCGGAGAUUAGCUUGCUUCAGUUCAACAUGCUUUCCAAUCCUGUCAGCAGAAAAAUUACCUGAGUUACACAGUUCACAAUGUCUUGUAGCUAAAAAUCUUUCCGCUCAGUUACCUCAUGCAAAAUAGAGAUGAUGGAGUUCCUAACAAUUUACUGCAAUAAAUAAAAUCGUGCUUGUUUUAUUGCAAUAGACCAAAGAAGCAAGAAUACACGGGCACAUAACUAAGCAAACUCCAGAGCACCAGAGUCGAGAGCUUUUGCCUUAACAUGAAAACCACGUAGUGCCAAGAAUAUCUAUUUAUAUAUGGCUAAUUCAAGCAAACUUCUAGUAUUACUGGAGAGAUCAAGCACAGCUUUAAUCAGCAUCAAUGGAAUAGCAGUAUGCAACUCAUUGUCCAAGAAAAUAUGAAAAGCAAAGCUACUUUUACUCCCUCUGCAGGGAGAAGGAUUGUGUCCUAUAGUUAUUUGAAAUGAAGACUCCCUGAUAUAAACACUCAAGUUUUUAUCACUGGAUCAGAGAAAACGGGGGUACAGAGAAAAAAGAUGCAUAAAUAUUGAUCCCAGAUACCCAAAUAACAAAAGAAAAGGUCUCAGAUGCUUAGCACACAAUUCUCAAGCAUUUCUAAGGAGCAGAAAGUAAUAGAAAAAAAUGUUAAUUUUACAAAACCAUUAGCCAUUCAGAAUGGACCAUGCGUUACAAGUCUUUUGAUCUCAGGGUUAAAUCAUGCCUUAGCCCACGGAGGGGAGGAGAAAGGGAACGGAUAAAAGAAACAGACUGAACAAGCAUCUUUUGGCUAACAACGAAAUCUAACCAUCUAAAGUUGCCAAAAAUUAUCUUACCCAAGAUCUGAUGGAAGCCUGAAACCACCAAUGCGUAUGCGCUUCAGUGCAUGAAUCUGAAAUAGAAGAAACACGAAAAGGAGUAAGAAAACAAUUCAUUUACAGUCAACAAGGGAAGGCAUACAUAAAACUUACAACAAGAAGAACAUAAGUGGACAGACAUAAGUGAUCUAUGCUCAAGACUGCCACUGACAAUAUUGAAGUACAAUAGAUUUACAGAAAGAAAAAUGAAAAAAAAAAGAAUGUCGAAAGUGAGCAAGGCAAGGAUCAGAAGAUAAAAUUCUGUAAACUCAAUUCUUUAUCAGUAUCAGAAUUCAUAAAGCGCAAAGGUCCAAGGAUGGAUUUUAAAAGGAAGGGCAACACUCCUUAAUACUUCUCUCCACGAGUGAAAAGAAAUGGGAUAGCACCAUUGGAGCAUUUAUUAGAAGCCCACUACACAUUCCUGUCUAAAAGAUUAAAAUGAAAUUUGGAAGGUCAGAAUCCCUGUCAACCUGUUUUCCAAAUUUGACUAGUUGAGAAUUCAAGUAUUUCACACCAAAAGCUUUUUAAAAAGAACAGAGAGACAGAAAAAGACAGAACAUUUUAGCAAUUAAUCAAGAUAAGAAUCAGAUGAAGAAACAGAGGAAACAUCAUAUUAGCCAUUAAUCAAGAUAGGAAGCAGAAGAAACAUUUUCAGAAGCUAAAAACACAUCUCAGAAACCAAAAACUACCUCAAGUCCAGCAUUUUUUACAAGUUCCCGCACUUCAUGAUUUCUUCCCUCAUGAACCUGCACCAUUAAAAGUAAGUGGAGGUCUGAUCCAUUAUCUUUUCCUUAUCUGCAUAAAUAAUGACACAACAAAGGCCAGAAUGACAAAUGGAGACUACAAUUCAUCAAACAAAAGCAUGAUUUAUUUGUCAGUCAGGACCAUAGUUUUGGGUGGACAACAGACUCGGAAGUCCAUCACAGGUAGACGAGUUUCUGCCAUCCAUAUACUUAAUACAUAUACAGCAUGUUUUUUUUUUGGCUUUAUUCAUGAGUCGUUACCAACACAAAGCAAUAACUUGAGACUUUUAGUUAUUUCCCCCCUUCUUCUCAUUAUUCUAAUAAUUAUUGCAUCGGAAGAGGGAAAAGAGGAAGGUGAUGACAGCAUGGAGAUGACCACCCUAUAAAAGAUUACCUUGUCAGUGUUUGAGAAAGAAAUUAAAAGGAAAAGGAAAACAACUGCAAAGGCCUUUUAUACAAGAACACCAGGAAAUGCUAGGCAGAAAACAAAAAUCAAAAGAAAAAGGAAUAGACUAGUUCCUUAACAGUUGUAAAUAAGUCCAGUAUUCUCAGAAGAGAAAAAUUAAUACCACAAUCCGAAUUCGUGGUCUUGACAGAUCUGGCUGCGGCGGUAGCAGCUCUACAAUAUCCGGGGCGCAUUGAACGCCUUCAACAACAGUCCCUUCACUAAUGGUAAUCAAAUGUCGCUUAUUGACGGAACCAUCAAUAGUUGCAAUAUAUCUAUAGCAAUACAUUUCAGUAAGAUUCAGUAUAUCAGGUAAGUAAGCACAUAAUGUUGAAUGCUUGACCACUGCUGAAACUUACUCUUUUAAUACUGAAUCAAACGAUAGGAAAGCAGAAUGAAUUCUAAAAUAAGUAUAAGACAUGAAAAGCAAGAAUCCCAUUCAAAGAAUGGACAAAAAUAUCAACAAGAACUUACUCCUUGGAUAAUUUAGAAGAAGGAUGUGAAAGCUUCUGAGCAAAAUCCCCUAAAACAAAAGUAAUUCAACAAAUACCAGUACCGUAUAAACAUCAUUAUUAGUAACAUCAAUGAGUCAAAAUAAAAAAUACCAUCAUUUGUAACUAUAAGCAAUCCAGUUGUGGCAACAUCAAGACGACCAACAGUAAAUAGUCGUGGUUUUGGUAGUCCAGGGUUCCUUUUAUCCUGAGAAAAAUGCAAAAAAUACUCAUAUGUCAAAAUAAAGCCCUUGCUGGAGGUGCCAUCAUAUUAGUUUAGGGAUAUAGAACACUUUAGUUGCAAUGUCUAGCGCAAAAUACAUAACAAUUCAGCCCAACAUACCCAACUAUUCAUAAAAUCAUUGAACAGAGACAGCACGGACUUCGUCUCCUUCUCUCCAGCCGAGCAAAUGUAACUGCAAGAUUAUACUGUUUUCAGCUUAUAGAAAAAGUGCAUGAUUCAAACGUUGAAGUCUCAAAUACUAAUGACAAGUUACAUAGAUAGACGUUGAUAACAAACCCUUUCGGCUUGUUUAGCGCAAAAUAGACCUUUGGGGGCAGUUUCUUGGGCAGGCGGUUCCCGUUGACAUAGAUCACAUCCCUAACAGGAUCAACUCUGGUCUGAUCCAUCACACAAGCAAAUAAAUGCCAUACUUCAUCACAAGAAACCAUAUCAUAAAAAAAAAUGGUUUUCUUCUUUAACAGUGCAGCUGUCUAACCUGAGGAGUAUUGCAUACAGAACCAUUAACAGUCACUUUACCUCCGAAAAUAAGCUCUUCGCUGUUUCUUCUUGAUGCCACUGUCAAAUCAAACCCAAUCAUACAGAAACAUUAAAUGUAAUUCAACAUUUUCCAUCCACAAACAUCACUAGCCGCCGUAGAGUAUGACAGCUUAAGUAUACUAAAACUUUGUAUCAUCAGACAGUAAAUUGUCUCAAGAAAUAGUAAUGCGUCCAUUAGACAAAUGAUACUGCGGUCACGCAGCACACCCCUCAUAAUAAGAAACGCUUUAAAUUUAACAAUACAAUUACAGCAAAAUAAGUGCAAUUUACAACCAAUAGAGCACAAGGUACACCGCCUCGUGCCGUAGCAUCCUCAUUUAUUUGAUAAAACUGAACUAAAUAACUAAAUAAGCAGUGAAGCAUUUUUGUUACCUCCAGCAGCAGCUAAGACCUUACUAAGCCGCUGAGGCGGGUCCCGGAAAUUCUCAUUAUAAAACCGGCGGGCAGCCUUGGAGAACUUCGGCUCAGCUGUGGGAGAAGCCGGCUUUGCUUUAGAGUCUUUCUCUUUCUUCUUCUUCUUCUUCUUAGUCUCGCAUUGCCCAUCGCGUGAAGUAGACGAGCCGGAGGAGUAGACUGGAGGGUGAGGUUGCCAUUCUCGUCGCGGACAAUCCACGGGAUGUAGAGUUGGUCAUCCAAUUCGCUAGCUGAGUCAUGGCCCGGAGUUUCAGUGGCGGAUUCGGAUGCGGGUUUGGGCUUGAGCUUGGGCUUGGGAGGGGCGAAGGUGAUGUUGAAUUCAGGUGUGGUGGAGGGAGCGGAAGAGAGUGAGGAGGCAAUUAUGGUGCGGAGAUGGCGGUGAGUGGUGCGGGUGAGAGGAAUAGCGGGUUUGGUUAGGUGGAGGGUGGCGAAAACCGUGGAGGCGGCGGCAGCUACUGCGGCCAUUAGCGCCGCCAUGUUCAGUGGAGCUGGGGUGGAGUGGCAAACGGCGAUGGGGGCUUAAGUCGAGAAUUUAGAUAAGUAGAGGGAGAUUUUAUCUCAAGCUUUAAUUCCAAUAAAGCCCUCUGCAGUUUGGCGUCUCCGGCAGAGAAUAAUUAAUUAUGAUACAUCUAAGGUCCUAAACUAUAAUGAUUAAUUCAUGAUUUGGUCACUCCAAAUCUCUGACCAAUUUGUUUGGCAAGUUAAUUACAGUUGCCACCGUUAAAUUUGAUUCUUUAUAGCUAGUUUGAAUCAUUGAGUCGAAUUUAUAGUUUCCCUUCUUAGAUUCCUAUAAUUAAAAAACUUGUAAAUCAAUUACCUUCUCCCCAUAAUUGAUUUAUAUGUCCUUUUCCCUUUUUUUAAUAAUUCAUCACUACCAAAAUUUUAGAGUGUCCAUUAGCAAAUUAAUGACUCUAUCCCUUUUUUUCUCUCUCUUAUUUUAAAUCAAUUGUCCUCCAAUUAGUUUCAUUGCACUCUCUGACAGUCCAAUUAGAAAAAAAAAAUUAAAGAAUUGCAAAAUCAAUCACCUUCUCCCUUGCAUCUACGCUCAUAUGGCACUAAUUUGUGUUUCUUUAUAAAUUAGUCGUUUAUUGAAUAUUUCGUUUGCUUUUCCUUUGGAAAAAGGUAUCAAAUUGUGAAUUACUGAUCAAUACGGUCCGUGACACAUCUAAUUCUUUAAAAUGGUGCUUCACCACAUUCAGCCCGCUCAAGUGACUGACUGGAUAUGGUGCAUCAAGGUGUAAACUAAUCAUUAAUUUAGUUAUAAUUUUACUAGUUGUAUUCCAAUUACUACCUUCAAUUUUUGUCCUUUUUUGUCCAGUAAAGUAUUAGAUAUCUUGAGUUUUACUAUUAAAUAUCGGUUUCAAAUAUUCACCUUUUUCUUGAAUUUAUUCCUUGAAGAUAAAAGAAUAUGAGAAAUUUAACAAAAUUAUAUCCUUAUACUAUUUAAAAAUGGGUUGUGGUCAAAGGAGUUUUGAAUUUCAAUCGUAUGGAUAGGAGAUUUUUGGAAGUGUGAAAUGUUAUGUAGUUUUUUAAAAGUUUUGGGUACAACUAAGGGCAACAUGUGUUUAGGUAUAUUUAACGAAAUACCCUCAUUUUUUGUACAUUUAAAGUUUUGAUUUAUGGAAACAUCUGGAUAUUUCUGAAAUAUGAAAUUGGAGUGUUUGGAUACAAAACUUAUCCAAAAUAAUAUUUCGCUUGCAUCAUAAACACAUUUUCCAACCCACCUUUUUAUAUUCCCAACCACCUUUUUAUCUCACAUACAUCACAUCACAAAAAGUGCUACAGUAAUUAUUCCAAAUAAUAUUUCAAAUAAUACACUAUUCAAAUAAUACAUUAUUUUACGACCGUUUUUGCAUUGAGUACAAUUUAUAUAAAUUUAUGUGUUGAUAUAAUUACUGAAAUGAUGUUAUAAACACAUUUAAUUGAUGUGUGACUUUUGUUAUGUAAUUAACACAAAGACAUAUUAACACGUUGUGCAAUUAACAUAUUGCUAUAAUUAAUCGUUGAAGGAUAUCCCUCUGAAACAACUUAUAUCUGCUCUUCGACGAUUUUCAACUUGCUUCUAUAGGGACUUUUUUGGAACAUUCCCACCUAAUACAUUAGCAGUAUAUAUAAAAUUAAUUCAUACAAAAAUUGUUUAGGGGCAGUAUAAUAUUCCAAAGUUCCGGUAUAUUUCAUUCAUUUAUUUGUACUUUUUUGAAUCUCUUUUUGAAGAAAAAUGAAUGAAGUGUCAUUUCUGGCAAAUAUAAUAUUCAUCUUACAAGGAUCCAAAGCACUUUUCGAAUUCCAACGCAAAAUAUGUAAACCGAAUCGAUCCUUCGAAUCAAACUUCCAUUCCUCCGCUCCAUCAGAAAACAAAAUACUAACUCCAUUCCUCCGGCCCUCCAAUUAGUCCCACCACCGCCACUUUCUACUUUCUAUGGCCACUUCCAUUCGUCUCCGCCGGCUGGGAACCGUCGCCCUCGCAGCCGGUGGUGCAUAUACUAUUCUCCGUGACCCCUCAAUAUCCGUGAACGACAGAGGUGGUGGUUCUGCUUUACAGAUUGUAAAGCAGAAAAUUGCAGACCCGUUUGCCGUCAUCCCCUGCCGAGCCGUUCAGGAGUCAGCUCUUAUGGGCGCGAGUUUAGCCAACCCUCUUGACGUACUGGUUGUUGGUGGUGGUGCCACCGGCUCCGGCGUCGCCCUCGACGCUGCCACGCGUGGCCUUCGUGUUGGGCUUGUCGAGCGCGAAGACUUCUCCUCUGGGACUUCUUCAAGGUCUACUAAAUUAGUUCAUGGAGGUUAGAAUUUCAAAUUUAAAUAAGUGCACAGUUAUUCAGUAAUGUUCAGACGAAUCGUUGGUAAGUCUGGCAAAAUGACUAUAUAUGGUUAAAUUUCUAAAAAUUUAUUGAUCUUUUGGGUUACAGAUAAUGAUAUAUAUUGGCAAGGACGCAUAGUAGUUGACUAUAUAUAGAUAAAUUGCUAAAAAAUGAUUGAUCUUUUGGAAUACGAUUAAUGAUAUAUAUAUCGUUAAGGACGCAUAGUAUUUAUUCAUCGUUGAAAUCUCCUUUCUAUGCAUGUGGCAUGCGGGAAAUAAGCUUUUUUGUGCUCAAUUGCUAGUUAUGGUCAGAAAGGCUUGAUCUUUUUGCUCUUGAGGUAUUGGGAUUUAGUCGCUUAGGUAAUAGUGUUGAAGAUAGAAUAGAUAGAGGUAACAUUAAAAGUUGGUGGUUGAUGUCUACUACCCUACUCUAUCAUGCAGAAGGUCAGGAGUGAUUAGAAACUUUUGCAGUAUCUUUUGCUUCUGUGUAUUGGCAUAAGGUCAUUGAGAGAGCAGUGAAGAUGAAAAGAUAGAUAAAGAAAAGAGAAAUUUGGUAGCUCGGCAUUUUAUGCGUGCUCCAUUGUGGAGGAUGUCAGGACAAUUUUAUGCGUGCUCCAUUGUCCUGGUGGCUAUAGACAGGACAAUUUUUGCCAAGAUUUAGUGCCAAGACAGUUGUGUGGUGAGUGUGCUUGAUGUGAUAUGCUGUCUUUCAGUGUAUUUGGGAACCUUGAAUCUAGAUGUAGAAUGUCUUUCAGUAUAGUUGGGAGCUAUGGUUAGAGUUUAUAUUAUAGUUGUCCGCAGUUUAAGCUUAGUUUGAAAUGCGGAGCCAGUUUAAGCAUAUGCAGUAAAUGAAGCAACAUAUAAAGGUGGAUGAUCGAGGGUGGGCACAGAACUUCCCUUUUUUGUCAUAUAUUUAGGGGAAGGGGCAUUUCAUCUGAGUGAAAUUGGUGAUAUUUGUGUUUAUAAGAUUGCUUUUAACUGAAUUGGUGAAUGCAUUAAGUUUCAAAGCACUGGAAGGUCUUCAUCCUAAAUUCAUGUGUUGCUACAAAUUGUCCAGCAUAUGAUGAUCUCUCGGUUAUUAGAUCUGCCUAUCUAAGUUUGAGUACAGAAAUUAUCAUCAUGGUCUAGAUGUGAUGUGAGUGGACUUCGAUAUUUCAAGCAUAGGCGUUCAUAACUGUAGUAUCAUUCAAGAAAUUUCAAGUUUAAAGAACUUUAGAAGCUCACGAGUUCAAUCAUUGGAUUUUUCAAAAUGGGAAAUGUUUGCUACUUGCAGGUCAAAGCACAAUUUUGACAAACCUUAUGAAAAUUUGCUCAUCUGUCUUGAUAUUAUUGGCUAGCAUGAGCAUGAUAUCAUUCUAUUGAUAGUAACUGGUAAGUUAAGUAGUCUAUGUCGAUCAUUGCAAUCAUCUCAUAGUUGAUAUUCUUUUGUUGGUGCUUAUGACUCUUCAGAUUUAAUUCCACCCAAUUUCCUGUACCAAUCUCCCAGGUUUUGAAAAAAUUCAUUGAUCAUGUAUGAUGGCAGCUCAUAAUGGACUCUAACGAGUUUAGAACAUAUUAUACAACUUUUUCCAAAAAACCCCACUUUCAUGUAGUUCUGUUAUUAUACUUUAGAAUCAACAGGGCAUUAUUGCACAUUUUUUGCAUUUAAGCCUUGGUGCUUAUUAGAAAGUAUCUUUUACAGGAGUUCGCUAUUUGGAGAAAGCUGUUUUUAACUUGGAUUAUGGGCAGUUAAAGUUGGUUUUUCAUGCACUUGAGGAGCGCAAACAGGUUAUUGACAAUGCUCCCCACCUCUGCCAUGCUUUGCCAUGCAUGACGCCGUGUUUUGACUGGUUUGAGUGAUCUACUACUGGAUGGGCUUGAAAAUGUAUGAUCUGGUUGCUGGCGCCACCUGCUACACGUAUCCAGAUAUUAUUCUGCUCAGGAGUCUCUAGAACUAUUUCCUACUCUAGCAAGGAAUGGGAAAGAGAAAACUUUGAAGGGCACGGUGGUUUAUUAUGAUGGACAAAUGAAUGACUCAAGACUCAAUGUUGCAAUAGCAUGUUCUGCUGCUUUAGCUGGGGCAGCUGUGCUUAAUCAUGCAGAAGUAGUGUCACUUCUCAAGGAUGAUGUUACUGGCCGCAUAAUCGGUGCACGCAUUCGCAAUAACUUAUCUGGUACAAUAGAAUUACACUACCUCUUGCUUUGUUAUUUUACUUUCCUUUCCAACAGUGCAUUUUAGAGCAGUGUAGCGUGUACAAUGUGUUUAUAUUUCAACUGGAUUCAGGCUGGUGUAGAAUUUUUAAUUUCCUUUCCAACAGUGCAUUUUGGAGCAGUGUACUGUGUACAAUGUGUUUGUAUUUCAACUGGAUUGAGUCUGGUGUAGAAUUUUGAGUCUAUCAUUUUCGCUUACAGCAUCUCAGCAUUGUACAGUUUUCCUUGUAAAUUGUGUUUCUUUAUGAGUUGCAGUUCAUGAGACUACUUAUUUGAGUAAAAACACUGGUUCAUAAUCCAACUCUCUCUCUUAACCCAUUGCGUAAAACAUAAAAAAGCAUAUUUUUCUCAUUGCAUUUACUAAUUUUUUUAAAUUUCCUUCCCCUCUUGUACUCAUUCCUCUGUGUACUCUCAGGUCUCAAUAUUUUCAUCCUGUACCAAUUAGCCAAUGUCAUCGACUUGCUCUUAGAGAUCUUACUUUUUAAAGUGUGCAGGCAAGGAGUUUGAUACAUAUGCAAAAGUAGUUGUCAAUGCUGCUGGACCAUUUUGUGAUUCUGUGCGGCAAAUGGCUGACAAAAAGGCAAAACCAAUGAUCAUUCCUAGUAGUGGUGUGCAUAUUGUGCUACCUGAUUACUAUUCACCUGAAGGAAUGGGCCUCAUAGUUCCAAAAACUAAGGAUGGUCGUGUUGUCUUCAUGCUCCCAUGGUUGGGGAGAACAGUUGCUGGUACUACAGAUUCAAACACCUCCAUUACAAUGCUACCAGAGCCUCAUGAGAAUGAGAUUGAAUUCAUAUUGGAUGCUAUAUCUGGUUAUCUGAAUGUCAAGGUUUGUUGGUUUGCCUAACUUGAUUUCGUAUCGAGUGCUGAAUCUCAGUCACCUAACUUAUAUAUGAUUCAAUGCAUAAUCUGUCAUUAGCCUUAGAGGACCUUUUAAUUUAUUUGAUUAGAUGAAAUCCAAAGUGUUAUUCACUGCUGGUAUUUCGUUGGGUUAUCUUCAACAUUUGUAUGGAUUAUAAAGUUGCAGAAUGCUUUAAAUAUCAGGUUCUUAGUUCUUGUACAGCAUAUUGACUACUGUAAGCUAGUUUGAGGCAUUGUUUGGUCUAGUCUAAAACUACUAGACUUAGUUUAACAUUUUGUUGAGUUUUUGCUUGCAUUUGAUGUUAGCAUUUUGGUUUCAAGAAAUUUGGGGAUCAGGAAAAGGCUGAUGAGCGCAAGUUGCAUGUGAUGAAUCUGCCAUGUAAAACCAGUUAAUUAGCUAAUAUUCGAUUGUGUUGUGAACUCUUCUUGUUCUUUUAGGUCUCUUGUAAAUGGUUUCAUGUGGUUUUGAAGUGUGUUCUUUCUUUUUUCCUUAAUGUUAUAUUUGCAUAAUAUCUUGUGGGGACUAAAAGUUUGUCAGAAAACUAGGUUCGGCGCACAGAUGUACUUUCUGCUUGGAGUGGUAUUCGUCCAUUGGCAAUGGAUCCUAAAGCAAAGAACACAGAGAGCAUUUCCCGUGAUCAUGUUGUUUCUGAAGACUACCCUGGUUUGGUAACAAUUACCGGUGGUAAAUGGACUACAUAUAGAAGGUAUUUUUUUUUUCCUUUUGGUUUACUGAAUUAGAAGCAUACCUUUUAUAUCCUCACUUCUCGGCAUUCACACCUGAGCUCACUUAUUGUGUCAAGUAUAUUCUAGUGGUUAGCUAUCUUCUGAGUUUCUUUGAUAAGAUUCUUGGGGUGGAGAUGUUAGUAAGCAGAAUCAACAUUUUUCUUACAUUUAUGCCCAGUGCUUGCUUCUUUUUUUUUUUUUUCAGCAUUGUGGACAAGUAUUUUUUUUUUUAAUGACUCUGUUUCAGCAUGGCAGAAGAUGCUCUUGAUGCUGCCAUAAAGUCUGGGAAAUUGAACCCAACCAACAAAUGCUUAACAUACAACAUACAACUCGUAGGUGCUGAUGGGUGGGAACCUGCGUCUUUCACCAUACUAGCGCAACAGUAUAUGCGCAUGAAAAGGACAUAUCGUGGAAAUGUUGUUCCAGGAGUGAUGGAUACUGCUUCAGCAAAGCAUUUAUCUCAUGCGUAUGGUACUCUAGCUGAACGAGUGGCUGCAAUAGCUCAGGUAUACUAGUUUAACUCUUUUUAUUUGUUUGUGCAAUUAUUUCUUGAUUCAAUAAUCUUUUGCAAUUUAUACUAAGGCAUUUUGAUAGAUUUAAUUCCCUGGAGUUCAUUUAUAGCUUCUACAUUUACAUAUUCCUAGCAAGUCUGAUUAUCUCCAUUUCCUUGCUUUUUUUUCUUUUCAAAGAAAUCUUAUUUGAAUAUUCAUGUGCAACUAUCUCAUGCGGAGCAGGGGAUUUGCAUAUGUCAUUUGAUUGUGAAUGAGUUUUUACUUGAUCGGGGGAUUUGCAUUUGUCAUUUGAUUCUGAUUGAGUUUUUACUUGAUCGGGGGAUUUGCACUUGUCAUUUGAUUCUGAUUGAGUUUUUACAUGAUUUUUUUUCUUAAAAAAAAAAAAAAAAUCAAGAAUGAGAACCUGGGGAAGCGACUUGCCCAUGGAUACCCGUUUCUGGAAGCAGAAGUAGCAUAUUGUGCUCGAAAUGAAUACUGUGAAUCUGCUGUGGAUUUUAUUGCCAGAAGAUCUCGGCUAGCUUUCCUUGACACAGAUGCUGCAAAUCGGGCUCUACCCCGCGUGAUUGAGAUUCUGGCUGCUGAGCACAAAUGGGACAAAUCAAGGCAGAAAGAAGAACUAAAGAAGGGUAGAGAAUUUUUAGAGACCUUCAAAUCAUCAAAGAAUGCUCAGUUCCAUGAUGGGAAACACAAAUAGUAAGGAGUCGUGAAUGUAUAUCCCAAAAGAGUUGCUAAUCUCCUCUUUUGUCAGGCAACUGCUUCAGGGCAACAAUGACUUGUACAACGUAGGUGUAGCUUUUCAGUUCUGCAUGAACGGUCGUUGAUUGCCCCAUCUCUCAUCAGCCAUCAGCCGAAAUAAUAUCAAUUUGGAUGUCAUCCAUAUAUAUACGAUACUAAUUUGGAUAUCUUUACUCUUUUUGUGCAAGAUGUCUAUUGGGAAGACAAAUGAGCCUAAAUAAUCCUUCUUUUGGAUGUCAUCUGUUUGUGCAAGAUGCAUGCAGUGAAGACACUUGUGGCUCUAGAUUUAAAGUGUUUGCUGAUCUCUGAAAGUCAUCUAUAUAAUAUAUUCGACAGACACAAAAUUUACCCCACACACAGUGCUGGCAGCAUUGCUUCUGGACUAGUACUACUUAGCCAUGGAUUGGUACCGUAAUGGCUUUUCAGAUUAUAAGAUUCUCAUUGAAAUAUGUAUGGUGGAGUCAAGUGUUUAGAGCAUUUUCGUGAAAAGAAAAUGAGGCAGCCCUGCCCCUUUUGGCUCUCUGGGCCAUUCGCCAUGGAUACGUUUAUAUCCUUUUUACAACUCAUAUGAAAGUUAAUCCGUUGACUCUAAUCCUUCUUUACUCCUUUUGGCUGCUAACCAUUGUUGCCUUCUUCACCCUAUUAGUCAGUUAUCAUCAUUUUGUUGGUGUUUUUCUUAUAGCUUCACCGGUUAUACAGGUUUAGGUUAUGAAAUACAAUUUUGCUAAACCGCUACAUACAGUUAGGGUCAACAAAAUUACAAAUGAACUGGUUACCCGGUUCAUGAACACUUCUAGUAACAUUUUCAUGUUUUUGAGAUAUUCUUUGACAUGUCUUUUAAUUACCUUACUACAUUUUUAUCCAACAAAAAUUACAUCCCAGCAAGGUGCUUAUUAUUUUUUGGGAACUAGAGAAUGUGAUAAAAAUGGAGCCAUUGUUUCUUGUAGAUCUCAGCACUUUGUCUAAUAUAUCAUGUUACCAUCAAAAGAAACACAAAAAAAAAGGAAAACAUUUGAUACGUGAAAGAGGAAAGACGCUUAUCUUAAUCGUUUUUUAAAACUCUAUUGUAUUUUGAAUUUUUUUACACACAUUUAGCGUUCACCUGACCUACCGUAUAUAUACAUACAUAUCCUAAUAAUUAUUAUUCUUCAUUGCAUUUAUAUACUUUCUUUAUUUAAUAUUGCCUACCUUCCCUUAUAUUUAUUUACUUUUUUUAAUUAAUAUUAUAUUUUAAAAAUAUAACACUUAAAAUAUAUCUUAACCAAUUUUUUUUUUUUUUUGUGAAGAGAGGCUGAAACCAAAAUUACAAGACUAGAUAGCGAAUUGCACCCAUCACAUCGAAUGGCUAGAACGACGAAUUAACAGUAUCUGGUGGAUCUUACAAAAGAGCAACCCCAAAUUGCACAUUAGGAGCUGCCAUAGCCGAAACAUGUACACCCGUCCGUCAGCCAAUAUAGAAGCACCUUUGGGCUGAUGAAAUCAAGGCUGGCACUACGAGCUGAAACAUUGGGCCUUUCGGGGGCUAUUACCUCAUUGUUGCUAACUAGCCAAGCCCGUAAAAGAGCCCCAGCUAAUAGCCCUUUUAAAUCAUCACCUUCGUUCUAGCAAGCUCUCACAGAAUUAUCAAACACGAAGGUCAGGAGAGGGAAAAAUUAAUGGCGCAAAUUCCUAAUUUAGACAAUGCUCCCAUUAAUCUCACCUCAAUUAGGUUUGUUAAUUAUCAAUUGUGUUAAUGGAUAUUUAAAUUGCUUCAACUACUUAUUUACUCCAGAAUUAAUCUUGCUUCUCUGUUUUCUUUUUUUUGUGGUGUGAAAUUCAGAGAUCAGUCUCAGAAAGAACUUCUUACUAUCCUGAAAAAUGUAAGUUACAUACUUCAGUUUACUCUUUUUUUUUCCCUCUGGGUGACAGUUGAAUUAAUUUGUAAAAUAAUUCGAACAAUUCAAUUUUUUCAUUUUUGUGGUGAUUUUUUUUAUUGGUAGAUUCGAGGAAAGAAAUGUUUAGCUAUCGAUCCCAAGCUUGGUGGUUCGCUUUCAUUGAUCGUCCAGAGCUCACUUCUCAAGGCAAUUCCCUAUUAUUCUUUUUUGUUAAUACAAUUUUGGCCCCAGUCAGUUGUGAUUUCUAUCACUAUACAUUUUCAGCUCGCUAAUUGAGUUUUUUAGUUAGUAAGAUUGUCUGAGUUAUGGGUAAUCAAUGUUUUCUUUUGUGCAUUUUCUCGAAGAUUUAUCGCUCGUUUAGUGAAAAAGCAUAAGAACAUUUUUGCUUAAUUUUGGGUGUAACCUUGAUCGAAGCAAAAACUGUUAUCUAAAUUGUAGUAAUGAAGUGGGCUUCUCAAUGUGUGGACUAGGGAGUCAGAGUUUUGCUGAAAUUAGUCAAUUCUAAAGGUGUUUUGAUAUGUACAACAGGAACAUGGGGCUGAAUUGCGUCAUCUUACUGCAGAACCAAUUCAAACUGAUUGCACCAAGGUCGUUUACCUGUCCACAGCCAACUUGACUUGAUGAAAUUAAUUUCCUCACAAAUUCGUGAUGAUACUUCAAAGGGUCUUCAAAGAGAGUAUUUUGUUUACUUUGUUCCUCGUCGUACUGUUGUGUGUGAGAAAGUAAGCUCCCUUUCCAAUAAGUUUGUUAAUGCGUCUUUACUUGUUUGCUGAAUUGAAUAUGAUGUUUAUGUUUGCUUAGAUACUAGAGGAGGAGAAAGUUUAUGACUUGUUGACUAUAGGUGAGUACCCAUUGUAUCUAAUGCCAAUAGAUGAGGAUGUAAUAUCGUUUGAGCUCGACCUUGCGUAUAAAGUAAGUCUGCUUGUACUUUUGCAUAAGAAAAAGUGUUCCAUACAUCUUGGAAAGGGACAUAUCUAAGAGCAGGUUAGCUUUGCUUGACAGGAUCAUUUGGUGGAUGGAGACACGACCUCUCUCUGGCACAUUGCAAAGGCUCUCCACAAACUAGAGGUCCAUUUCUUCUGUUUCUUAUCCUACUUGUCAAAUCAGUUUAUUCACUUCCUCAGUUUUCCCAUGUUUUCUAGUAGCCUUCUUUUACUUGAUGAAUGCAGUCUACUUUUGGAGUGAUACCAAAUAUUAGGGCCAAAGGGAAAGCAUCUGCACGUGUUGCAGACAUUUUGAAUCGCAUGCAAAUUGAAGAACCUGUUAAUGCAUCAGAUGUACUUAUGCUUCAACUUAUAGGCUUUUUAUAUUUGUUUGAUUUGAGAAUCUUCUAUGUUGUCUAUUGGCAAGUAAAGGAUCUUUUCUUCUUGCUGCAGGCUGGCAUGCCAGAAAUCAAUACUCUGAUCCUCCUAGACAGAGAGGUAUUCACUCACUCACACUGUCUCUCUUUCAUAGAUAGAUAGAUGGAUGGGCACAGAUAUGUGUAUACGUUUAUAUGUGUGAAAGGGUGUAUGUGUAUUUAUGUACAAGCUUAGACCAGAUUACUGAUGUAUAUAGGACUAUGUCUCCAUAUGACAUCUUUAUAUUUACUAUUAACUUUAUAGUAGUUCAUCACCUCAUGCUCACAGAGUUAUUAUGCACUCGAAUAAGUUAAAUUUUUUUUAAUCAUCAUGAAUGAGCUAGAGUAGGAGGUUAUAACAUCUGGCUAGCUACCUACGGUGGGAACUGUUCCAAUCAGAGGGUGGUAUAUAGGUGUCUAUUGACCAUUCAGGGUUGCUGAAAGUGUACACGUGUGCAUCACAAAAUUUUGAAAUCACAUUUCAAAAUAUUGUAAUUUGAGAUAUUAAAGCCUGGGUAAAGGCAGGCUUUUCCUUUAGACCAAAGAUUACUCAUCUCUAGUCAUGGUAUUCAUGGACUUGGUUCGAAGGCUUGUUCUCUGAAAAAUUUAAUCUAGUAGCACUAAGCAAUCUAUUAUCACGCCUUAGUUUCAGGCUUGAAUGUUGGGAUUUUAAUUGUAAUGCUAAGAAAUAUCUUCAGUCUGAUUGCUAUUUGUUGUUUCUGCUGCAGGUAGACAUGAUCACUCCUUUGUGUUCUCAGUUAACAUACGAGGGGCUGCUGGAUGAGGUAAAAUGCAAAAGAACUUCAUUGGACACUAUAAACUGAAUUUGCGUACUAAUUUGCAUUGCUGAGUACUACUUUACAAUAGCUGCAAUUCCUGCUGGAUAAAAUGUAAUUUUCUCUUUUGGUAGUUGGCUAAUAUGAUCCGUGUCCUGUGUAUUUGGCGUACAAUAUAUUGCUUAGCUUUUCUACUGGUUGCAUGCAGUUUCUUGGUGUCAAUAAUGGUGCGGUGGAAGUAGACUCAUCUAUUAUGGGUGUUCAGCAAGAAGGAAAAAAAAUGAAGGUUCCCCUUAAUUCAACGUAUGUUAGUUCUAUUUAUGCACUGCUUAGCAUCUCUCAUCUUCCUGCGAUUCUUAUUCUUUACUUUGUGAUGAUCUGUUUUGCUGUAUGCUUAUCUCUUCCAAUCCCUGUUGUCUAAACAUCUUAAAAAUGCUCUUCAUCUCUUCCAUACCAAAGCAAAAUUGGGUUUCCUCUGAGCAAUUUCAGAAUCAAUUAAGUUUUUUUCUUUGUGAAAGAAUUCUGAAUUUGUCUAUGCCUUUUUUUUUUCUUUCUAAGAUGAAAGGUUUUCCUGCCCUGCUGGCUAUUUGUAGACUUUCCCCUUCUAAUUGAUGGUUCAAUUGUUGUCUAGUUGUUCUGUGCGCAAGUAUACAUCAGUGCGACAUGUAAAUAUCUUGCAUGCCUUGGCUUUGUAACAUUUACUGAUUCUUUUUCUGCUCUUACUCCAGUGACAAACUGUUCAAAGAGAUACGGGACUUAAACUUCGAAGUUGUUGUCCAGGUUGACCUGUUUUGAGCAUAUUUUCAUGUCUGCUCACAUCCUGUUCAAUUAGUUUAUCAUUUUUCUCAUGUGCAUUCACAGUGUGAUUGCAGGUUCUACGUCAAAAAGCAACAUCCAUGAAACAGGACUACACAGAGAUGACAACUACUGUAUGUGGUCAUUAAAGUAGUUUUCUCAUUUUUUAUGCCCCAAAUCAAUUUUAUGUUCGUUUUGUUGCUAAGUAUUAAAUUGGCUAGUUUGUACAAAAGAACAUAUGGUCCAAAAUACUUCCAUGUAGUUGUGCAAAUUCCAUGUGCUCUUGCUGAUGAAUAUUUUCAAAAUGGAGACUUGACUGAUCAUGUCAGUAAAAAGGCUUAGUGUUUACAUGUCUAUACAGUUACUGGUGGCAGAUUACCUAUUAUAUACUGCUUUCUCCUAUAUUGUUUUUGUUUUUAAAAGAAUAACAACAAAAUAAUUCCCCAUCAAAGCUUGGGACGGAAGCCAGUGUUAUUAGGAACAUAAACUAGAGAAUGUCUAAUAGAUUUAAUCAAAUUAUAGUGAUAUCUACCUAGUAGUGUAUAAUAUUGUGGAUUCAUCAUGAUGAAGUGAGUAAAAUAUUUUUUGCUAAGCCCUUGAGCAUCUUCUUCUACAUGGCACUAAGAAUUGCCAAAAUGAACUGCAGGUUUUCCUUCUUAAUUACAUGGAUGGCUUUGUCACGUGGAUCCAUUGUUUAGCAAACCUAAUUAUCCUCCCCCCCCCCCCCCCAAAAAAAAAAAAAAAAAAAAGUUAUUCUUGUUUCUCCAAUAUGAGGAUCUUUAUAUUGCUCUACACACUAAGAAUAUUCUCUGACAUGGUGCUGCAUUGCAUACAGAAUCAAACAGUAUCUGAAUUGAAGGACUUUGUGAAAAAGCUGAACUCAUUGCCUGAAAUUACUGUAAGUUCUUCACGGAUUAACUGCAGUUAUCGUUCUUGAUGGUUCGAAUUGUCAAGUUCCAGAUCUAAGUGCUGUCAACUAUUGUUUCAGCGGCACAUAAAUCUUGCUCAGCACUUGUCAACUUUUACAUCAAAACCUUCAUUUCUUGGGCGUCUUGAUAUGGAACAUACAAUUGUUGAGGCUGAGAGCUAUGACAUGUAAACUCAAUUUCUUUAUCUUUUAAUUCUUCUAAAGUAAACUCAGAGAAGUUACAUUUAACUGAUCCUUUUACUUAAUAAAACUUUGUUAAAUCAGAAGAUUUAAUAUGAGCUAAACUUGCUGUGGCUUACUAACAUAAUAAGCUUCAUUUGAUGUGGAAUGCUUAUCUUCAGGGUAACUUACAUCCUAGCUGAGUCCAGUUUUGUUCUGGUUGCAAAAUUUUUUUUCUUUUCUCUAUCGAGUUAACUUUAGCAAUGUGAUUGCUUGUCAUGUUUACUGUUGUGUAGAUAUUCCACUUCUUUCUCAACUGCCAAGUCAUUUACUUUGACCACCAUUUUUUUCGGGUAACUUUGGGGGCUCGCAUUUGAAGUUGAAGCAUUUUGGAUUAAUUAUCCUCUUUUAUUUGCUAUAUAUUUUCCAAAUAUGGUAUUAUAUAUUCUAACCUUGAUUUCCACACACACUUUAUAUGCCCUGUUCACUCAGUGCUUUUCCCAAAUUACAUUCUCAGUGAGUCUGAUCUCCAAACCUCCUUUGCCUCCCUUGGAAACUAGUGUUGUCAUCAUUGUCUUUUUAUUUUUGUUUGCCCUCAACCAUGAUCAAAUAAAUUUGCAUGCAUCCACAUACAUGGUCCAUUGUCCCUUGAUGGCCUACUUGGCUGCAGAAACUAAUUGUGGACAUUAAUGCAGAUGCUUCGAGUACAUUGAAGAGAUGAUCCACAAGCAGGAGCCUCUAGUUAAUGUUCUGCGUCUCCUGAUCUUGUUUUCAAUAACAAAUUCAGGACUGCCCAAAAGGAAUUUUGACUAUUUGAGGCAAGUGGAGGGCAGAAUGCAUUGAUUUUCUGUUUAGUCUGAUUUUGCCUUUCACAUGUGGUAUUUCAUGAUUUUUUCUCUGAGUUUUCAGUAUCUUUUGAAACUUGUUGACCUCCAUAGUGUUGUUUUAGGAGAGAGUUGCUUCACAGCUAUGGUUUUGAGCACAUGGCAACUCUGAAUAAUUUGGAAAAAGCUGGUUUGUUCAGGAAGCAGGUCUGAAUAGCACAUCAUAUCUUUCACAUAAUACAGUUGUAUGCAUUAUUGACCUGAUGUUGUAUUACUCUUCAUCUUAUCCCUUGCAGGAGACAAAAGGCAACUGGAUUACGAUCAAACGCGCUUUGCAGCUUGUGGUUGAGGAUACAGAUACUGCUAAGUAGGGAUUGAUUUCCUGUCAUUGAUCAAUGUCUGAUUAUAUUUGUUCCAAUCAAAGAAGUUUUAGUAUAUUCCGGUAGUAGGUGAUAAAGGACAAAAAGGAUUUUCUCAGAAAACACCUCCAGUUUCCAAAUCAUGUUUCAUCUCCUUCAGAAACAUGGUGGCAUAUAAAUUAUUUAUUCUUUCUAUUAGUGGUACACCAGGAAAAAGUUUGUAGCGUGAGAAACUCCUAGAAACUUUAGCUGACCACUGAUAGCUCCCAUCUUGCAAAGAUAAGUUAUUGGGGAGAAGGGUAGUGAUUUAGCCAAAUUUGGCAGCAGUUAAUAAUAUCCAUGUUGAUGAUUCAGUUAUGUCCAUCAGAUAUCUAAGUGGUCUAUCUUUCAUGGGCUGACUUCUUUUGAAUUUUUUCUUAAAUUUAAGUUGACUUCAGUUUUAAAGCAUCUAGUUGUGGCAGAGUGGAAUAGUGGGUAGAUAAUAUGUUGAAUUAGAUCACUAGCUAGAGUCUCAAUACCGCAACCAGUAAGAUAUUUCAUUGUUCAGGGAAAGAUUAAAUUUGAAAGAUAUUCUUUGGGAGAGAAUGGUAAACUUUUGAUCUCAACAAAGAAUGAAAAUUGCAGGUGCUGAUAACCAAGAAGAGAUGUAACUAUCAAAGGUAUAGCACUGUAGAAGGGCAUGCUGCUGACCAUAUAUAUAAUUUGGUUAAAUCUUUUGUUUGGGAAUGUAGUUCUUUUUUGGCUUUCAGUUCUGUAUGGUGCCUGAUCAAUAAAGUACUUUACUUUUUUGUGGAAAAUUUUUUAAGCAUCUGUAAAGGUCAUUCUGCAUUGUUUGUUAGCUAAACCAUUUGUAGGAUUAUUUACUGACUUCUAGAAUUUCUGCAUUCCUCUCUGUUGUUGCUAACUUGUGAUGCUUUUGACAUAACAGUCCCAAUGAUAUCUCCUAUGUCUUCUCUGGAUAUGCACCUCUCAGUAUUCGCCUUGUUCAGCAUGCAAUCCGAUCUGGAUGGUAAGAUUCAUUUUUGAAGCAUGUUACCAAUUUAACAAGCCAAAUCCUUGCAUCUAGCUGUUUGGCUUGUUUGUUGGAAGAAUAUGAGUCUAAACAUGGUUUUCUCAUCUAAAUCCAAAGGCUCCAAAAUGGGGGUAGGGAGCAGGGAAGAAAGUAGGUAUAUAAACAUAACGUAUUUUCUUUGCAGCUAUUUUUUUGGGGAUCUUAGUUGCUAUUAUAUUAGAGAACUAAAAGUGGACUGUCUAUUAGUCUGAAGAAAAGGAAUGAACAAAAUAAAACUCCAGUUUUCUUCAGUGGAUUUUUUUUUUAUGGCUUAGAGCUAUGUGGCCAGAAGAGAAAAGAUUCACUAGGGGUAAAAGGUCUAGUGAAGAUAUAGACUUGUGCUGCUUAUGGAGUUGCAAUAAGUGCCUGCCAAACUGGUUCUUCUCACUUCAAUUGUCACUCUCAACUGUGGAAGCUUCUGCUUCUACAACAUCUGAUGCAUGUUUAAUGUCUGUAUUCACUACUACAGGUGUUGAAAAACCUCUCUUGGAAAGUAGUAGUGUUGUGUAUGUUUCAUUGGUGCUUGGAUGAAGUAAACACUAACCGCUGUAUUUUCAAUACAGUUGAUUUUAGACAGCAUGUCUAAAUACAGAUGGUUUUAGACAACAAGUCUGAAUACGGAUGUGCCUUUUGAAUUUCAGAUCAAGCAUUAGAGUAGAAUUUGUAUCUCCAUGGAGUUUCAGUGGAAGUGUCAAUUAAAUACCAUGAGAUAAAUUAUUGACAUAUUUUGAGAAAAGAUGUUGUUAUUCAAGGAAUUGUUAGCUCUAGUUUUUCAUUCAAAUUGAGGACCAAAAAAAACUUUUAUCUUUCUAUUACUUGAGUUUUGAAAGAGUUUUAAAAUGCAUUUUCUUUGAAUACCAUGUAAAAUUAGAGCUUCAAACAGGUCUUUACUGUACUGGAUGCUUCGAAUGUUUUGAAUUGAGUGUCCUAUUCAUCAUCUUGAAGUUCGCUUUCUGGAUCAAGAGCAAACCAUAACUUUAAUUAUUUAGGAAUUCAUUGUUAUUCUACUUUCUCAAACCUCUUUCCGUUAUUGAGUGAUAUAACUUAUUUGAAGUAGUAUGAGAUAUGGCUUUCUGUAAUCUUGUGGUGAAAUAAAUUUUCAGGCGCCCUCUUGAAGAUAUACUGAAGUUACUGCCAGGACCACAUACAGAAACCAAGAGAGUCAGUAUUGUGUUUGCCUUGACUUUCUUUUUCAUUCUUUUUACUGCUAGACUCCAUGUUCCUGUUAUGAUAUGGACGCUGCAGAAGACUCUUACUAUGGUUUAUCUUAUCAACAGAGUGGAUAUGUUGGCGGUUCAUAUGACAAUAUUUCCAGUUCUGUGCUCAACUUAGCCAAGUAAGUUUUCAGGCAGUACAUUGAUGUUGUCAUAAUUGUUUGCUUCCUAUAUGAAGAAGGAUCCUGUGAUGCUGUACAAAUGCAGGAUCAUUGGUCUAGAGUUGCAAUACAUUGUUUAGGUAGCAACAAAAAUUUCCUUCCUGUUUCUGAUGCUAUAUUGCCUCUCUCGGUUUUGUUUAUGCUCUCUUUUAAAUGAAUCUGAUUAGAGGUUUGGAAUUAUGAAAGCUGUAUUGGCUCCCAAUUGUGGUUGGAGAUAGGGAUUUUGAGCCAAAGAGUUUCAAAAGCUAAGAGUUGAACCAAAUUCUCUUUUUGACACCUUUUGAAAUUUCAGAGUUGGAGAUGGAAGGCGCUCUUUGGUCCUUGUUGUUUUCGUUGGAGGGGUUACAUUUGCAGAAAUCGCUGCCCUUCGUUUCCUCAGCUCUCAGGUAUGUUUUCAAUUGCAAGUCAUAGGUUUCAAAUGACUUUUUCUUUUAAUGUUUGACAGAUCAUGAGUUACUUUUAGUGCUCAUUUCGGUAUAUCAAAAUGCAAGAAUAUUUUAGUACUACUAUUUUGGUAUUGUUCAUUGGAGUGCCAAUUGACUAAUUUCAUGUUUCUAGUAAUUUCAAAUGUGAAUCACUAAAGGUUAUGGUUCAUUGUCAUACUGUCUCACGACAGUGAACCAUAUGCCAGACAGCGUCUGCUUGUGCUCCGUUGAUGGUGUUAAUUCCCUUGGUCAUACCACCCUUGGCCUUGGAAACCUUUAGUGCUUCUUUGUACUCUUAGGCGGCAAAAGACAAAAUGGAAAAGUGCAAUCUCUUGCUGUCUUGCAUUAUAUGAUACUGCUUGCUUGCAGGCAAAGAACUAUGAAAUGGCCUGCUUUGUCUCCAGUUUUCAACCUUUACCUUAAAUUUCUUGUUGUCUCGAGCACCAUUGCAUCUGCUGCUGCUGUUAUCUUGUCCAUGUCAUCUUGUCAAUAUCGCUAAAUGUCUCCGUGCAAUUUUCACUGUGCAGGAGGGAAUGGCAUAUGACUUAAUUAUAGGAACCACGAAGAUCAUCAAUGGUCAAACGUUAAUUGAACCAUUUGUUGAGAAAUUGGGAUAACUUUUAAAGCUCCUUUUGGACAGUUAGUGAGCUGCAGAAGAGGAAGGAGGCUGCUCCUUGCUUGUCACCCGGAAGAUCAUAGCCAGCUUGCUUCCUUUUGAUUGUUAAGCAGAUGUUUGACUUGUACGUGAGGUGUUCGUUUUGACAAUGGAUCGUAAAUGGGCUUGUACAUAAAGAAAUGAAUUCUAGCCCUUUUUACUCUGCACAAGGAAUGCUUGCCAGGUGGUUUGCACUUCAGCAGGUAUAGUGCGAAAUUUGGUGUCAUUUCAUUCACCACCUCAUCUGGCGGCAUGUCUAUUUUUGCUGGCAAAAGAUAUGAAAUUUUUUGGACGGGAUAUCUUGGUAGUAUGUAUUGGUUGGAUGUAUUUCACCUCGUAAGUAAUUAUGAUUUGAACCUACAGAAAAUUAAUCUCCAUUUCUCGACUACAUGGACGUAUGUUUGUAAAACAAGAGCUUGUUUCGCUGAAAUUCUUUUUUGCAUACUAGGUUUUGGAUUUCAACUUUUACUUUUGGACAAAGCAAAUUCUGGAGAGAAUGAAGUUGGUAACCCCUUCUAAUGAGGGGAUCAUUUACCUAACGAGGGUAACGUUUGACCGUUUUACAUGAGUUCGUUGACACAUUUACUGUAUCAAUUUUGCUAACGUCAAUACCAUAAACAUUAACAAAGUCCAUGGUUAAAAAUAAAUACAUUGAUUAAUAUGUAUACUUUUACCAUUAGAUAUAUGACGCAUAAUUUGAAUUUAAAUUUAAAACUUAAAUUUUGCAUGUGUCGUGUAUCUAACUGUGAUAGUGCAUAUACUGUCAGUGUAUAAAAGAUUAAUUCUUUUUAAAUAAAUCUUAUAUGUACUAACAGUGUAUAUACCAUUACGAUUAGAUGCAUGACACGUUAACAAAACAGAAGAAAAUCAGUUUUUUCAUUUACGAACAUGUUUACCUUCUCCCUACCUCAGGGGCGUUUCAUUCCCCAGCAUGACAGUAACUAAUACCUCUGAUUAAUUUAAUGUUAGUUGCUUUUCUUAACACACAACCCACCCCCCCCCCCCGGCCCCCUAAAUUUUUUUUCUGUACCACUUGCCUUGGAAAACAAAUCUUUUUGUCUUCGUUUUGACCCAAAGGUGUGCGCCUGCAAUAAUACUAGAAGGAUUCCUUUUCCUUCUUCCCUUUUUCCCCAUUAUUCCCUUUGCUUUGGGAAACGUAUUUUGGAAACGCAUUCCUUAUGUUGUGCUUUGCUGGCAGGUGACGAAGAGCUUCCUGAUUCUAUUAUUUCUUGUUUGAAAGGGCAAGGAAGCUGGUAGAUAAGAUUAUUUAUUGGCUGGAAAAGGAUUUUUCUCGACGGAUUACUUUCAAGAAUCCAUUACACAAGUUUCUCACAGCCGCCAGAAUCACAGGAACCUCAACUUCGAGAUUCCAAGGGGAUUCUUCUUCUUCGUCCCUUCCCCACCCCCGGGGCCGCGCCAAACAAUUCAUAUUACGUCAAUGACAUGAAAAUGAGGGCAUGAGCGGUAAUUGAUGAUUACUGUGAAGAAAGGUCAUAUAACUCGAAACGCUUUAAAGAUUUAAGGGUAAAAACAAAAGACCUGCAGUAUAUCUAAUACACAUAAAAGCCCUUCGUGGUUUUAAAACAUACAAAAUCACACCUCAUAUUUUGAAUUAAAUAGUAAACUAACAUAAUUCGUUAAACCUAACGAAAUCUGGUAAACUUAACGAAAAACUUAACAAAAUCCGAUAAAUUUAACGAUAAACUCAACGGAAUCCGAUACAUUUAACGGCUGAAAUCGUCAUUUUCGUUAAAUUUAACGAAUUCUGUUAGUUUACAAUUUAAUUCAAAACAUGAGGUAUCGUUUUGUAUGUUUUGAGAUCAUUAAAAACUUUUCUGUGUAUUAGAUAUACCACAGGGGACUUUUUUGUUUUUAACCCAAGAUUUAAAGAUAAUAAUAAGCAGUGUUGCAGUACAAUUGACUUCACUGUAACAUUCAUCAAACCUGUGCACUGCAUUUUGACGCUAUGAUGGAAAUAGUAAAACAGAAAGCCUUUAACAAUUACGUGAUCUUAACAAAAAUGACCUGUUUCUGUGUGCAAAAAGUUUUAAUACACGGAAACAGCUAUUAUGCACAUCUUGAGGAUUGAAAUUUCCACCUGGAAUAUAAAUUAACAGCCAAACAACCAGGCUUAGCGUUCCCUUGGCAUUUCAAAGCAUCCUGUUUUGACCAAUGUCAAUUCCAUGGCUCCAGGAUCAGCAAUAGAUGUCCUCACAAUUAACUCGGAAUCCACCACCUUCCUCAUGGUCAAGAUACAAUUUUACACAUCAAUCAUUUAACUCCCUUCAUGCCUCUUUCUCAGCAUACCUUUCAAUUCCAGGACUGGCUUUGACAUAACCAAGAAGUGAUUGAGGCAAGGGAACCCUCGCGGGGUGGUGGGAUUCUAUCGCUUUAUACAGGAUGUGAUUUCAUACAUCUACAUCUUCCAAUGGAACUUCUACGUGGGCAGUGACUAGCUAAGUGAAGUGGCACAUUAAACUCGUCUAUCUGGAAAGAAAAAAAAUAUCUGAACCUUCAACUGAAUGUCACGAACUAACUGGUUCAACUCGCUGGAGAAGUUCCAAUACACUGCUUGCUUUUCUUUUAGCCCUAUCAGUGCCACUCUCUGACAAUUCCCUCAAAACCUCUUCUGCCCCAAGGUCUUAGCUAAUUUCAGGUAUUGCCCAUCGCCUGUGCACAAUGACCACAGAAUAGCGGCAGCAUUCUCCCGGUUGCGUGGAGAGCUGGUCCGAAUGACCUCUACCAAUACCGGGAUUGGGUCAGCUUGACCAAUUGCCACUUUCCCCUCUGGAUGGCUAGCAAGUAUGGCCAAUAUUGCAAGAGCUUCAUCUACCAUUCCACCGCCAGGAUCCUUCAGCAAUCCUAUUAAUGGUGGCACAAUCCCUGAUCUAACUGCCCUCACUUUGUUUCCUUGAUAGAUUGAAAGAUUAAAUAUGGCAGUGGCUGCGUCCUUCUUUCCUCUUGGGGUCCCUUGGCAGAGUAAGUCAAUAAGUGCUGGGAUGGCCCCAGCUGCUCCUAUUGCAACCUUGUUCUCAUCAACAACCGACAAACUGAAAAGGGUAGCUGCUGCAUUUUCUCUUGCUUCCAUGCUUCCAACUUUCAGCACAUCCACAAUAUCAGGUUUGAGAUUAAGCUUAGUUGACAAAGGACAAGAUCACCGCUACAGAGGAUUAUCUGCAAAUAAGGUGAUAAGGCAUGUGACAAAAAUUAUGCUUCAUUUAAUGAAGAAUUCUCGAAGUCUUUAUGACCAUAUGUGUUUUUGAAAUUGUUUCAACUCUGAAACAAUUUCUGCAUCUAUAAAAUAAGAUAAGUUUUAGCUGAGGCAGAGUAUUAAUCUUAUUUGGAUGCUUGAUUCUUGCAUCUAAUGAUUGUAUGUGAAGUUGUGGACUAUAAGAUUACUAGAAGAUUUACUAUGGUCUUCAUUGGCUGUAGUUUUUAGUAAAUUAAUUUUUUGGGUGAAUUCACUGUCCAUGGUUUCAUUCUGAACCCUAACAUGCGUUUAAGUUAUCCCACAUGGUGUAAACCAGAAAUCUUCAAACAAUGCCCUUUCAUCAUGUGGCAUGUGAAGCUGGGUGUCUUCACUGAUCACAUGAUGCUCCAGAUACUUAAGCCGAUAGUUUGUUCUGGAGCAGUGAGAUUAAUCGUUGUUUAAAAUGGCUGAAUUUGAACUUUCUCACGACAUAUGCUGUCGGAAGAGAAAAAGACUUUCUAGGUAGUAAAGGGAUUAGUUUUACAACACCAUGAAUCUUGAUGCAGCUCAGUUUGGGUUUUGAGUGAGCGCUUCCAAGUUUAAGUAUUAGCUAGUAAGGUAGUACAAAUUUGUAGAAAUGUGUAUAAGACUGCUUCAAGUGAGUCCUGCUGUCAAGGAUAAGGCAUGCUAGCACAUGAAAUCUAUAACUGAGGUUUGUUAUUGGGCUUCCUAUGGCUAUUGAUUUGAGUUGUCCAAAGUGAUUCUUGCUAUAAUUUUGUUAACUGUGCAACUUUUUGGUUCCAGUUGAUACAAAUGAUUUAUCAUAGAUUCUUUGUUUUGUAAUUUAAAUAAAUUCCUGCUUAUGUUGAUUUCAGAGGAAGUUCAAGAAUUCUGGUUAGUUUUAGAGAUCUCUCAUGCUUGGGUGAAUAUACACUGUUUACAUUGAAUUAUUUCGUUCUGCUUGUAUUUUGAGGAGUUCUUGAAUUGAAUACUUCAUGUUCUGGAUGCUUGAAAUGGCUUCUGAUCAGUUGUCAUGCUAUAGGUAGAAUAUGGUUGGACAUGCUGGUUGGCUGCUCCAAGAAAAGUUUUCUGUAGGCUUUGCAACUGCCUUCAAGGCUUCGUUUUUUUUACUAUACUACAUCAAAGGCAAUCUGCACAUGCCUAUCAAGAUCUUGAUUGAGAUUCUGGCAAAUUACAUUUUUUAUCCGUGAAUCAUACGACUACUGAGAGAUGUAUGAGCAUACUUGAAAUCGCUAGCAUCUUAUUUAAUGAUGAGAUCUGACUUUGAGUGAGUGGUUUUUUGCACCAUUUUAUGUUGCAGCUUGUAAUUCAUGUUAUAGACUUGUAUCUCAUAAUUGUCUCCCUCUAUAUUGUCAAGAGAUUGGAUGAUGCUCGCUUUGUUCGCAAGCUUAAUGUUACUUACAGGGGAAUGUGCAUCACGAUUCUUCUAGACUAAUUUGCUAAUGCCAUCUGUAUUUUCAUCGUCUCACAACAAAAAUGAUCUCAACAACGCAGAGUUUUGGGUAAAGUGCAUAUGUUGCCUGAUUAGUUCUCUCAAUUCCUGCAAGACGAUUUGACUUAAACUUUCAAGGCAACCAUUUGAAGUACACGUUUCAGUCAGGAUAGGCUUUUCAGUGGAUUUUAACCGGCAGUAGUCAUGCUCAAUGUCGUAGACCGCCAGUGCUGUAUAUAACGUGAAAUCGGUUAAGCUGGAGAUAACAGAUGUCAGUGCUCUAUAAAAUUUUAGAAUUCAUGUAUAGUCAUCUAUAUAUUGCUCUUCUCCCGGUACAAGCUCGUGAGUUUCAUUCAGCUUGCAGGGGCCAUACCGUACGACUAAUGUUUAAACUUCGGAGAAUCCACCAACAAAUAUCCAUAUCUAAGUCGAUUUUCUGGAUGCCUGCAUAGAUAAAUAAGAAGCUGUCACGAACAAAACGACAGGCAGGUUAUGAAGAUAUCUGGAAUUCAUGAACACUCAAGUUUGAACUUACAAUCAUCUCAUGGUCCCCCAUGAUCUCUUCAAUCAACUCUUGUAUCGGUUUAUCAGCACUGUUCGGGACAAGAGCAGCAAAAACUGGCGGUUCUAGUCCUACACAGAUGGAAAUGGAAGAUAUUGGAACGAGUCUUUUAAGCUGUAUGCAGAACAACAGGACCAGAUGGAAUUUGCUUCUGGGUACUUUCUUUGAAAUUAGAAGAGAAAACUGAAAGAACCACCACUAACGUGAAACUUGAACCGGACAUGCAAAAUGCAGAAUGCUCAGCAGAUGCUUCGCAGUUGUAGAGGGGAAAAUUUUUCCGAAUCAGGCAUACAUCCUAAAUAACCAUAGGUGAAGAUUGAGAUUGGGAUAGGAUAAUAUCAACACUAGUCAACUUGGCUAUUUGUAGACUUUCGGUACCAUGAAGUUCCUAGCUCAACAAGCCAUUUUCUUUGACAAUAAUAGCGCACAAACCAACACACGCACACAAAAGGAAUUCGUGGUAUCAGAAACAACUAGGCCAUAUUUUCACGAGAUACCUUUUGGGCUUAUAAUUUAGCUUUAACAAUGACCAUAACGAAAUUAACUUGUACAACCAAAGAUUUCUAUUACGGUGAAAAGUAGGGUGUACCACUUUCUGGAAAGGCAUCAAUAAACAUCAUCAUCUCCUCUCCUGUGAGACCAGACAAGAAGCAAAUUCGGGGAAGUGACUUUGCAAUCUGCAGGGUAUACCAAAAUGCUUAUGACGCCGGACAAUAUGCAAUAUUAAUGUACUCUCUGUUACAUGAUUGUAAGACCAGCUAGUAUGCAGCAUCUAAGAGUACGAUUCUUCAGUUGCCAAAUUAGAGGAUAGAAUUGCACUCAAAAACAUCCUUCACUUAACAUCAGCCACAAUCAUUCUUUUGAUCUGCAUUGCAAUCAGAACUUCUUAUCAAGGUACUACAGUCUGUAGUUCAGUCCUAAUUCCACUGCUAUUUGUUGUUAGUCAAGUUGGCAACUCUAGAACGAAUUAGAGGGCACCUAAACUUUCCACUUUCAGAUGCACAGAAUAUGUUUUCUUCCCCCUCCCCGUCAGUCCUUGAAGACAAUAAAAACAAGCAUCCAAGAUAAUGACUUGUGUGGACAAAAAAUAUAUGCGAGCCCCAUAUAGUAUCAUUUUUUAUGGAAAUAGCUUUCUUUCUGGCAUAGCUUCAAUCGGUCGCAGAAGGAGGAAGACUUGACAUUUAAGAGCAGAAAAUCCAACCUUUGCAGCAUCCAAAUUAGGUUGCUUAGUAUUCAUUGCCUCCCACAGACAGCAAGUAAUCAUGUCUUCAGUACAAAAAAUGACCUGCAACCAAAAUAUACAAUCAGAAAUGCAGAUGAACUUUCCUCAAUUAACCCAAAACCAUUACUUCUCAGGCAUGCAUCAAGAAGAAUCAUUUCUCUAGCCCGCCAACAUUUGCAGAAGCCAGAAAUACACUUGGCAGACCAUGGUCUUCUGAGUUCAACGGAUUCUCUAAUGACUUCACACAGCCUUAGGAAUGUAUAAAAUCUGAAACAUAAUAUCCUUUUAUCUCUUUUCCCCCCCUCUUCCCAGAAUGACAUGGUCAUUUGAGUUCAAUGGAUUCUCUAAUGACUUAGAAAAGGACUUAUAUUAUUUGAAGAUUUUAUUCGAAAAAAAAUUAUUUCUUAACUGUUUGCAAAAGCUUUCCACCAACCAAAAGCCACUUUGAAUACCUCUUCAUCUCCUUAACUUGCAUGUGGAAAAAGAAGAAAGAGAAGUGUUGAGAGAAGCUAGCUACCAAUGGAGAUACCUCUAGGAAAUCACCAUCUAACUCCUUAAGAAGUUGCUGUAUCUGCACGCACACAAACACGUGGUGGAUUGAUGAAUUAAAUUGGAUGGGUACUGUUGCAUAUAAAGAUCAUUGGGUCUAUAUGCUUCUAGAGCUGCAACACUAUCUGUACAUUGUCAAGAAGGAGCCUCCGUGAAGAGUAUUAGCCAGUGCAGGUAGUGCAAGAUUGAGUGCAGCUAAAUUUAUUGUCUCAUAGCUAAAAUAUCAUUGAUAGUGCUCAUUAAGGGAUAUAUCCUUUUCAAUUCAUAUCCCAUAUAAAUUGCCCCAUCAAACGAAAGCCAAAAUCACAAAAUUUGAACAUACUUUCCAGCUGAUGAAACCCCCAUUUUUCAGUCACGAAAUCUUGAUCUUAAACAUGCAUUUGAUUUUGUUUCUGCAUGCUAGUUUCGGCACAACUAUCGUUGCUAGUUCUCUUCUACUUGAUAAGUCAUUUCUAAUAAUCAUUUUUUUUUCUGACUAAGAUCAUAGCUGUGCUAGAACUCAGAAAAGCAGUAAGCACUAGUCAUGAGCAGUUUGUGUAGUGUUAAAAAUGGAUGCAGUUGACUGAAGAGGCGACAAAUGAAAGAACAUAACCAGAAGAAGAAACAAUACUGAAGUUGGAAAUUUGGCAUGUCAUCGUCAAAAACUAGCCAAUUAUUUAACUCAAUCAGAAGACGUAAAUGCCACCGUAAAGUACCUUCACUGCCUCCUCUAAAUCAAACCCCAGCAACAAUAAUGCCUGUGACAUAAAGUGUCAUUAGCUAAAAGUACUAGUAUAACUAAAUCUAUAGGCUUCUUGAUGCAGUAACUCGUCCAAAUUUACAUCACAGCAUUAGUGGAGAAAUCAUGAAAAGUCCAUAUCAAGUGCAUAAACUCGUAUGCAGUAGCCAAAUUAACGCAACGUUCCAAAUCCUGUACAUUUGGCCAUCUAAGAAACUUAAAAUUGGUUAUUAUGUCAUAGAAUUGUUCAAUUUAGGAGGAACAAAAUCUCAACAGGUAACUCAAACUAAUUAUCAAAUAUCUCCAAUGUAGUGUUAAAUAAAAAAUUACUAGGGAUGACCGGUGGCAACAUUUUUAUUUUUUUUUCUGACAAUUGAAGUGCUAUUCCGGUAUAUCUGGAUUUGCAUUAAUAGAUUCUUGUCAAUACACGCAUUCCUUAAAUUAGACAGCAUCUAUUGAAAAUCCAUUCACGUUACCUUUUUCUUGUUUUCUUCCUUAAUACAAAACAUUUGCUUAGUAUGCAAGGACUAACUAGAACUUACAGGUGGACCAUAUCUUGGAUCUUCAGCAUUUAGAGGAACAAAUUUGGAGUCUUCAUCUACUAACUCAGACGGAAGCCCUGUUAAACAUUAAGAGUUAGGACAUCAGAGUUCAUAAACAGCCAAAAAUUAAGAGAAGCAGUCGAUGUUCUCAACGGAAGUAAAGAAGAAGAUCAUAUAUGCAUACCCUCAGAAGAUGCUCUAAGCUUGAGGCAGUGGUUAAGCUUCAAACAAGUAAAGGGACCUCUACAUGAAACAAAAGCUGGAAUGCAAAAGUUCACAUGCGGGUUUGAUGAUGGAAAUGAUAGUCUACAAGAGUUUAACUCAACUUUGUAGCAGAAGCUUCGAUGGGUGGUGAUCAGACGAGAAGCCAUGAAGGAAUCAAUGAAUAGACAGAUAAUCUCAUCAGUUCUGUUUCUCUAGUUUCCUUUUAUCCUUUCACUAAACAUUAUCUAUUUCUUUUCUUGAUUCUUUUUUAUAUGGGUUUAAGUUGGUAGGAGGCGUACUCAAAUGAGAAAUACAGUGAAAUUGUAUUUUAAAAAUAUGGGAAAAACUAGUCAGAAACUUGUUUUUUUUUUUCAUCAAAUUAAGGCAAGUAAAAUCAACUCCUUAAAACUCCUCAAUGGCAUUUGAUAACUGAAGUUUCAGUCUCUUCCAAAACUAGGAUUUUAAGAUGUUGGUAUUUUAGAUAUGUUAAGUUUGACAUAUUGGGAUUUUAAAAAUUCAAUUUUGCUUAAAUUUUGAUUUUUUGCGUCUUAGUUUUGCUAUUGAAUCAAUCAUAUUCAUUGGCGAUCAUUUUCAGGUUGAAAAAAACAAUAUUGUAUAGAGCGAUCAUUACAACAUAGUACUUAAUUAGUGGUUUUAACUUUUAAACAACGAAUGUAUAAUUAUUAGGGAUAAUUUCGGAAACCUUUCUUGAGGUUUCUGACAAUUUCAGGUAGAUUUUCAUGGUGGUGUAAUUGAUGAGUGGAAUAGACUGCGAGGUUAUAGGUAAGUACGAGAGAAUCAUAAAAGUUAGAAAAAAAGGAAGGGAGGAAAAAAAAAGAGACCGCUGUUAAUUAAAAUAGGGUUGGGGAUUAUGACGGUUUGUUGCAGGUUUUUACAUAUAUAUUUUACUUUUGAUUUGGUUUUUGUAUCUCACAUAUGUGGUAAAUUAUCUAUUAAGUAGAGGAUAUUGUAGUCAUUUUAUUGAAUCUAAUUAGGUUAGUGUAAUUUUCUAAAAUUGGGGGAGCUAGGUGAAAUUGUCAGAAACCUCAAGGGAGGUUUCUGCAAUUAUCCCUAAUUAUUAAAGUUGAAUAACCCUUUGGCCUUUUGCCAUUGUCUGUCGUCAGUUAACCCCUGAUUAAAGCAAACCCAAAAGUUUAUGAAUCCAAGAAUGCUGACGAUAAGCAAUUAGUAAAAGAAUGGUAGAAAAGUCAGCUGGUUAAAUCGAAUGCCGCUGCGGACCUCAUGCUCAUCUAACCCAAUUCUGGAUAAAGCUUGCCAAAUACUAUGCAGCUUUUCGUCUAGGCCUAUUGGUUAGUAAUUCGUCCCUCUUCUCCUUCUUUUUCUUGUCUAGUUCCUCUAGAAGAAUAGUUGUCUGAUUUUGUUGUCUUUCUUGCUUGAAUUGAGGUUGGCGAGAGCAGUUGGGAGAUGGGUUCUCUAUAGUUUCGUGAUUGGUGGUUUAAAUUGUUUGAAGGAAUGAGCUAAAGAUUGCAUUUUGACAAUUGGGCUUUUCUUAAUUCUGAUUAUAAUGUUCUCUGUAAUUUCUUGAUUGAUGUUUUGAAUAGAUUGAAGGAAUGAGCUAAUGAUUUUUGACAGUUGGGGGAUUUUCUUGUAUUCCGAUUAUAUAUUGAUGAAGUAGAAUUUUUUGAGUAGUUUCUUGAAAUUUCCUGUAUUUCGCCCUUGAUUUAUUGUUCUCCAAGAAUGUGCUUUCACUGUUUUUUCGAGGUCAGCAUUUGGUUCUUUACCAUAUUGUUUCGGGGGGGAGUAAUUGGCUUCUUAAUAUGCUGAAUACCUACAGUGAAUAACCAAUUAAGGUUGAUGAAGUAGCAUUUAACAUCUGUAUAGGAAUUUUAGCAAAUAAUCAUGUUUAUAUACAUUUGUCAGUUUCAUUCAGAUAUAAAGAGAGAUUUGGAUAAGAUGUACUAGCAGAACUAGAGGACCUGUCUGGUUGGGCCAUGUUUCUUGUGAAAGUUUUCAGCUUUGUAGAAUUCUUUCGAAAGGAGGUUUAGCUUGUACUUGAGAAGUAGUUUGAGAUAAUUAAUUUCAAAAGACUCAAUUUUUAAAAUGUGGCACAGUAAUUGUUCCUCUUGAUAUAAAAUCAGGAAACAUCGUUUCAGUUUAGACAUUGUAAAGCAUGUAGCACAACCAAUGUCAGUGGCCUGGCCUUCAUGCUUAUCCUUUUUCUUCUGAAACUACUAGUGUUGCAUCAUAAAACCUGACAUCAAUUUUAUAUCACCAAUUUUAAGUUCUGAAGGAAAUUCUUUGUGAUUGGUGCCAUCUAAGCUCUUCUCUUCAAUUAGUUUGCAGGUUUUGCACAUCAGAUUGUAAUUUGUGGUGCAUGAUCUAUGUUCAAGUAAGAUAUCACUACAAUCCUGUGAUCUUCAUAGGUUUCCCUUAUAUUACUCUUUUCCCCACUUCAUUAUAGUUCUGUUAUGUACCCAGAGGGGGUACUGGUAUACUAGAGAGGCUUGCUUGUCAUCGCUUAAGGUAUUAUUGCCUGUUUCCUGGCUGAGAAUCUGAUUAUCCAAUUAGGAGCAGCUAGUAAUUUACUCCUGCUUUUCCUAGAAAAUACUCAAGAAUCCAUCUUUUACUUCAGAUUAUAGUGCUGCUUAUAUUUAAGAGGGAAGAUAAAGCCUUUUUAUGAGGUUGGUCUAAAUUGGUAUAUCAUCAGAAGGAAAUAGGAAGAAGUGGGAAGGGUCUAGAAAUUCUUCAACAGAGAAAUACUGAGUGGUUGGUAACUAUAUUGUUAUAGCAAUAAAUUAGUUGCAAUUUACCCUAUUAGUGGCCUUUGAUUACUAUUCGUCUCAUGCCUCUUUCAUUGAAAUCUCAAGAAGCUUUCCUUGAAAUCCAUUGGCUCAUCAGCAGCUUCUGGUACAUAACUAUUAUUGCAUAUGUGAAAGGUCCUUAAAACCUGAAAUGGUAGAAAGAAACAUCGAAUUUGCAUCUUCUACAUUCUUAACCUUUUAUAGGUGGUUACCAAUAUCUCUAGGAACAACCAUAGCUGUUCCAAUUAGAAUUAGAGUUGGCAAUAUCUCAGUAAGUCUGGAGCCCUUCCAAUCAUAUAUUUACAUAUAGGCACCUCAAUACACUCGUCAAUGCCAUAUUUGUAAAAUUGUUGGAAGUUGAGACGUGUACUUUUUUUAUUUUUUGGGGGUGGGGGUGUUGAUUUAAGUGAUAAAAAAAAAUUUAAUUUAAGCACAGUAGAUUCGCCCUCACCCUCUGAGUCACAUGACCAAUUCUUCUUGUGAUUCUCGCUGUAUCCAUGCCAUCCAAAUAUCACAGCAGAUUGAAUUGUAAAACAUCCUCAGCAGACUUUUAAAUGUGUUCAUGUCUUAUAGGGACUGGAUAAGUAGCACUUUCAAAUUAUGCAUGCAUAUAGUAGUAGAGGAGUAAAUAAAGAUCAGCUUUAAUUCAUUAUGGCUUAUCUUUUAAAUAAAACUCCAUUGUUGCAUGCUUGAAAACUGUUGCUCAUUUGAAACAAGAAUUACAAGUGGGUUAUGUGACAAGCUAUUGAUGAAUAGUCCAUGACAAAUCUGUAUUUUAUCUGAAAGUUUCUCUGAUUGGUAUGCGAUGGGACCUCUCUUUCUACAAAAUGGAACUCACUUCUGUCCUCUAAAACCAUCAGUGAUGGAGAACAAUUUGCAUUCAAGGAGAUGCAGGAGUUUUCUACAGCGGAUGGGUUCGUGGAUGUAAGUGAGUGCUUGGCCGAGAUGAUAAAAUAUGUUGCAAAUGAACCCUCUGUGGGACUUUUCUACAUUCAGCAACAUACACGGAAUGCAGCACCAAACCUUAGUAAUCUCAAGAACAAUGUCACUGAGAGAUCUCGUGAGAUGACGUUGCAUGCAGAAGAUUCAGAAGAUUCUAUUUCCAUUAUAAGGUCAAUGAGAGAAUGCGGCUGUCCCAUUGCUGAUGAGAUGAUUAAAGACAUUAAAAAUUCUCUAGCUAUCAUGUCAGCCAAACAUCCAAAAAGAGGAUUAAUAAAUAGCUCAGAUUCAGCUUUUCGGUUGGGGAGAACAAGAUCUUGGGGACCAGUUGCCUGGGGUCGGAAAUCAAGUUCACCACAGCAAGAUGGUGAUAAAGGUGCUAGUUAUCUGUCAAAUGUCUUAAAGUCUGCAAAGCUCAAGGCUAGCAAUUUGAAAUGGCCUCAGGUUGAAUCCUCCGAAGAAUCAAGAGAAAUCAAAGAUGAGAAAUCAAUUUCAUAUCUUGAUCCCUCGUUGUCAGAUAGAGGUGCUAGUAUCUCUUCUGGUAUGCCUGAGGCUGAGGCAGUUGAAUUGCCAUUGUCAAGUGAGAUAGCUGAGGAGCCACAAGAAGUGCCAGUUGACAGAAGCGUGUGUGACGAUGAUCUGAUUUCCUUGGCUGUGAAAUAUGAAGAAUUCAAGGCUGAUAGAGAAGCUAAGCUGGAGGAAUGGCUAGGAGAGAUGAAGAAUUAUACAAGUAAUUAAGAACAAACACGUGCAGUGCAGACAACCUAUAAAUGCCUGCCUUGCUUUUGGGGCGUCUUUGCUACAUUGAAGGGGUUGAAAGGAUACUUUAGAAUGUAAGAUUGUUUUGACUUGUUUUGACGUUCUUUCAAAUUCUGCUGUAGCGUAUUUGUUUCUCGCACACUUUCUCAUUGUAUCAAAAGGCUUGUGGACAUACAUAAAGAGAAAAGGUAGCAUAGUUUAAACAAGAGAUAGGAGUUGAGAGGGUCAGAUUUUCUCCUGUGUUUUACGCAUACUGGAAAUAAAAGAACUAUGAGUUUCUUGCAGGAUCUUAUUUAGAGGCAAAGAAGGGGAGACUGUUAUGCAUCACAUAUCUGUAUUGAGAUGAUCCUAUUUGGUGGGUCUCCAACCCUUCGUUUUCUUUUGGAGCCAAACCGAUAAGGUAUAUCUCCAGUGCCCUUAUUUUCUUCAGCAAAAGUACUGGAGAUUGAUUGCUUGGGGGACUAUGAGGAAUAAUUUAGCCUAAGAAGGUCAACGAUGUAGUUAAAACAUGCUUUUUCCGGUUUGCCAGAUACAUUUUGCGUUAACAAAAGAAUAAAUUAUUUGUCAUUUCUGUCCUCUGUACACUUGUUUACAGGAAAAAAAAAUGAAAAGAAUAUAAAAAAAAAAAUCUGCCUCGAGACUUUCCCAACACAGUAACACGUGUUAGCUGAAGAGGCAAUGCAAAACCCAACCCACAGGCAUUGAGCAGGAUGAUCGGAAGCAGAUUGCUCGAUUAGUUUUCCAGCUUGCACAGCAAUAUCGUGGAUGAAAUGCAAGCUGAAAUACAUCCCAGAGCACACACUUCAACCUUCAAAGAAUGCACCAAGGCAGCUCCAUGGAACAGGACGAAAAGAAACAAAAGCUGCCUUGUGAACUCUUCUUGAUUAAUGACCACUGAUAGCAGUAUUUGAGCUCUAAACAUGUCAAAAAGGGGGUAUAGGCGUUUGCAUCCCAAAGCCAUCAGGAAGUGAAAGAAAAUGACUCAGCCCCAGGCAGAAUAUUCACAGCGUUUGGGUUCCUGUAGAAAAAGCACAUUCAAAUUAUACAGGAGAACAUAGUUUACUUCAUGAUACAGAGGAAACAUCAGAUUGAAUAAAAACCAGUGUCAAAAGAAAUUCUUACUCGCUGUAAAUAGGGAAGAUGUAGGUAGGAGAAAAGAAACAUGUAAUACAGUAACCAUGAAAAUCUUCUUUCAACUACUUUCAACUUGCAUCAAAUCUCAACCUGCAAAACAGUAUUGAAACAAUCAGCAAAAACAGAUCAAGUUCACAGCAGGAAAAAAGGACGUACUGAUAAAGAAUUACCAUUGAAGGAAGACCAUUUUUUAUGUUACUCUCUGCUUCCACAAUUACCCCUGUCAAUCACCAACUACCAGAGUUUGUGCUCGGCGGUGGAGCAAAUCCAAAAAUGUUAUUUUCAUAUAUGUUUUCGAGAGUUGAGCUGCUGAAAUUGGUUACUAAAUUUUCCCCAGCAUCCAAACUGAGCGUAGAGGAACCAGUGAUACUUUCCACAAAUAUAGAUCCAACAUCUGAAUUGGAAGCAUGGAUAAAUGCACCAUCACUGUUUAAUAUUGUACCUCCAAUGUUUGAUAUUGGGGGUAGGUCAGAUUCCAUGUAGCCCACUGAUCUAGCGACCAUAUUGGCAUCUGGAGGGAAUGUAACACUAGCACUACCUUCCACAAAAGGAUAGGUAAAAGUAGAACUGUCUUCAACUUUAACUUCAACUAGUGUGCUUGGGACAGAUGCAGAGCUAACACAAUUGCUCGAAACACUAGCACUGUUGCCCAGAUUUUGAGUAAUAAAGCCAUUACCAGUGGCCAAUGAUUUAGAGCCCACAUCAAGAUUUGCUGGAUCGUUAGAGCUGUUGCUGCUGUCAUCUGCUUUAGCUCUACCAAAUGUAUUCAGCAGGCCAGCCCCAUUGUUCUUACUCAGUAUUUUAGCUUUCCUGAAAAGUUUCCAACAAGGGGAAGUUCUUUCAGAGUCAUGAAUUAUAAAUGUUGUAGAACAUUAAGUGUUGAAAACACCAAUUAAAUUGUAAAUCUUAUGCUCAUACCGAACCAUCCUCUGUUUCAAAGAGGCUGCUUUCAACUUUGAAGUACCUUUAGGGGAAAAUAAACAGAAAACAUCAGUCAUUGUGGUGCAGUUUAAGUGUAUAAACUGCAAUAGGCGAAAACUUUCAGUCCAUGAGAUAUCCAUGCAAGAAUUGUUAACCCACCUGGUUUUGGGGUCAAUGAGCUCGAUACAGGCUUACGAUUGCCCCUCUCAGCCUUAAUUGAAGCAAUAAUAGAAUCUGCAUAUGGUCCCAGACCUUUCCUUCCAACCAAUUUAACACCAAACUUCCCACAAAGAUGAUGCAACCUCAGUUCGUCACCUCCUCUUACUUCUCUGAGUUCUAGUGCUUGUCGCCUGCUCAAUAAUGUGUAAACAUGAAGCUCCUGUUGCUGAUUGAAAUGGGACUGAAGCUGCUGAAAGAGUAGCUUAUUAGUGUGUGGUUGAUCUGGUCUAAGCCCUUCAUGACUUCUCUUUCCUGGGGGGCUGAAUGUCACCCUUAAGAUUGCAGUUGAUUUAAAAUCAGAUUUAUUUCUGCCAAAAAUUACCGAAAAGCUUCCAAAUUCCAAAUCUGGCUCCCUGAAUAGAUCUGCAAGGAGAGAAGCACAGGAAUGUGCAUCCUUUGGUGGGUUUUUCUCAACUUUUGACCUCGAGGCUCUAACACUCACAGAAUGAGAAAUAUUUGCAGCCUCUCUAAAUCCACUAAGAAGGGCUCCAUGCAUAGUUGCUGGAUAGCGUCUAUUGGUGGCCUCACCUGCAAAGAAAAGUCUACCAUCUCCUACACUUUCUGCCAGAAUAUCAUAGUCAUCUCCUGAUGCGCCUACGGCAACAUUGGAAUAGGAACCUAAGCUGAAGGGAUCAGCGCCCCAUCUGGUACAGACGGUUUGGAUUGGUUCUGGAACCUCAACUCCUUGGGGCUCAUAUAUGCCUGGACGCAAUAAUCCAAAAUGGAAGUGCUUUUAACUACAUCAGCUUUUCAAGGCAUGUACACCAGUAAAUAUAUGUACAAGUACAUGUAAACUGGGUGUGUCCUGAUAUUAGGCAAUAAAAAAAAUGAUUUACCUUUAAGAAUUUGAAGAACCUUUGUCACAGCAUCAGUUGGAGGCAUAGUCUCAAACUUGUGUGCAGCUUCUCCUGCCACUAAAGCAAUCAAGAGGGCACCACCAGCUACAGUUGCAUAGCUAUAGAAUAAAAAAAAUUCACCCCUAUUGCUAGAGUCAUCAGAGAGAUGUCCGAAGGUAUCGAGAUCAGUUCCCCAGAACACAUGAGGAAAAAGCAUUGCAACUUUAUUCAACAAUCCAAAACCCAACCGCUUUAUGCUAUCCAGCUUCCUUUGAGGCAACUCAGGUAUAAACUUGAUAGAACUAUUCUUCAAAACUCCAAGGGGCACAGUGCAUAGAGCCAUAUCGCCCUCAUAAACAUGGCCACCAGCAACAACCUGAACUCCCUCACUACCAUAACGUAUGGUAUUCACAGUUUUUUCAUAAAGUAUCGGAACAUUCUCAACCAAUGCCUGAACCAGUUUUCCAGUUCCUCCCGGCAGGAAGCAAUGGUCACCUCCCAUGUCAUAAGGGUCAUCUUGGUCCCAGAAUGCAAGAGAAAGCAUAGAAAGCAAACCUGCAUUUGCAUAUUCAAGAUUUGCAAGAUGCCAAUUAAACAAGCUCAGCUCUUCUUCAGUAACUGCAUCCCCAUAAACCUGCCGAAAGGUCUCCAAAGCCGCACCAAGAGAAACAUCCUGAGAAACUUCCCCCAUUAAUUGCCUAAGCUUGCCAGCUUUAUCCAAGAGCCGAUUAAAGGCCAUCUCCACCUUUUGAUCUAAAUCUGCAUCCACCGGUUUUCCAUCCACUCUAUAAAGCGGACACUUGUCUCUGAUCUUAUGAAGCGUGUAUGACAGCUGGCGCGCCAAGAUCCCAAGUGGGUUCCCAAGUGUGCCUGUCAGCACACUGCCCCCUAAAUCUGCAGCGGCAGUCCUAUUCCCGCCCUCCAUCUUCUUCGUGUAUACCCUCCCACCUGCACGUUUCCUCCCCUCCAAAAUAGUAACCUUAAAACCAAAUGACAACAAUUGCCUAGCUGCAGCCAACCCUGCUAGACCUGCCCCUAUCACAAUUACACUCGGCUUACUAGGCUCAGCAGGAAUCCUCUCCUUAACAGCCGGUGCAACCCCAAAAUUAAUGUAACCAUGCGAAACCAGGUAAUCAUAAGACGUAUCCAAUAGCCUUUUACAGUGAUCCGGUAUAAUGUCCAAAAACAUUUCUUUCGACACCCAUCUCGAUACAUCUUCCCGCCAUUUCGUGAUAAUAUGAUUCCUAACUAAAAUAUAAUUGACCUGCUCAAUGCCACCCACUACAGAAACAACCCCAGCAUCAAUUUCCUCAUCAGUCAAGGAAUCAGCCGGGAAACCAGCUGUCAACGCAAUCAAUGCCUCUGCCGUAGCCUCUUUAUUAAUCACAAUGAUCUCAUCGGAUACAUCAGAAGUACCAAGGUUUUGGUUUCCCAGUGUUGCUGAACUAGUAUGACCAUUGCUGCUAAAGUCAUAAUUUGAAUGAUUCAACAAUGAGGACGUUGGUAAGUUAUAUACCUGGUUGACAGACGGCGUCGUGUUGCGUGGUCGGCCUCGGCGACGCUUGCGAGGGAUAGAAAGGGAAAAGAAGUGAUUGGGAACUGAAUUGUUAGGGUCAGAAAUUGAGAUAGAAUCGCUGUUGGAAAAAUGGACAUUAGGGAUUUGUGUGGAAGUAGAAGCAAAGUUCGGGUUAGGGUUUGAAGGGGGUAAACGAAUGGUGAAUUGAAGGGGAUUAUUGUCGUUAAUGUUAAUAUAUGGGUUGUAUUGUUGAGGAGAGUUUUGAUUUGAGAAAUCCAUAGUAUUGCUUUUUCUUUAAAAUUUUGUGAACUUCGGAGAUGAAGGCUAGAGUGUAGAAUGAUGCUCCGGUGAUAUAACAGGAGGCGGAAGACGGAGGAAGGAGGAGAAAGAAAGCCGUCGGCUAGCAAGAGCACUGUGGAGACGGUAGUGCAAUUGGGUUCUUUGUUUUGCAGACGGGUCGGGGGUCGGGCUAGGCCGUCUGUUUACUUUUAUGAAAUUUUAAAAAAGACACCGGUUAUAUCUUUUCUAUUUAAUCUAACCUACCUUCACUUAUAUUUAUUUUUUUUUCCUAAUUAAUUUUAUAUUUUUUAAAAUAUAAUACUUGAAAUAUCUAUAUAAACCAUCUUUUUAUUUAUCUUUGUCGGGUACUUUUUUUGCAAUUUUGGUAGCUCAGAGCAAUUGAAGACACCUAAUGGAGUUGAGUGGUAAUUUUUCAUCAAAAGUGCUCCAAUUUCAAACAAUUUGAGAGAUAGAUGUCAAAAUUGAACCUGUUUUUCCUAUGGAAAGUUUCGAGUUUAUUGUCUCAUAGGUAGUAGUCUAAUAGAGGCAUAGUGAAGCGAUGUACAAAUAUGCGUAUAACAGUUAGAAAUCUAAAUUAAUUUAGAUCCAAAAGUUAUACUUUAAAUUUAGAAACCAUACACCAUAUUCAGACGAAAUGGUUGCUUAGAUUGCAUUAAGCCUCCCUAAAUUCCAAAUUUAAACUAAAAUUGUUUCGAUAAAAUAAGAAAUAGCAUGUGUUGGACGAACCUCUACAAGUGCUACAAAAAGAGAUUUAAUUUUGCUGUAUUAUGUAACAUCAUGUUUAGACUUGUAAUUAUAAUGGACUAGUUUUAGGCUGCUCGGAACCCAGAAAAAGAAAAAGAGUUUUUUUUUUUGAAUAUAUAAGAUAUAAAUUUCUUAAUAACUAGUAUCAAAUUAAAAUGAUGGACUAGUUUGUAAAUCAAGCAUUAGAAAUGUGGAUAUUAAGAAAGGAUAUACAUAAUAAUAUAUUUUUUUCCAAGGUUUUAGACUACCAUCAUUGUAAUAUAUUGUAUGUUUUUAAAUAGUAUAAAAAUUAAAAAAGUUAGACAGCAUUUUGUUAUUAUUUUUUUGUUUUCAUCAUUUAAUCAAUUACUACAUUGCGUAUGAGUAAAAAUUACGUCUUUAAGUUUAAUCCUAUCAACAAGCCUAGUUGCCUUUACUGUAGUUUAUACAUGACGCAUGCACAAAAGAGAAAAAAUCGAAAUUGCCAAUCUCAUGUAUAUUGACGUAGUAGUAAUUUAAUCAUAAUAGAAUUUUAUUACCAAAUUUGUCAUGACUAAAUUGACACAUCUCAAAAGUUUAGGGGUCAUAGUUAAUAUUCUAAGGCAAUUAUCUUUUUCAUUUUUAUUUCAAGUUUGAACAGGUUAAUGACGUCACCCACGUGACUCCGCCGCUUUGUCAUGUUAUCAUUAGAAGAAAAGUCGUAGACCCAUAUUGAGUUAAUAUUACGACUCUUUUUUAUUUUUAUUUUUUGCCCCCUGCAACGUCCUUUUCUAUUUAUUUUUUGUUUUUUGUUUUUUUAUUUUUAACCAGCUUUGAAUCCUCUGAUCUCAUAUCAUAUUUUGAACAAAGGUAAUAAUAAUAUAUAUUGUUAAUGAUUCGAAUUUAAUUUAUCCGAUUCGUUUUCUUCAUCAGAAAGUUUACAGAUCCGAAUCAUUUCCUCUCUUUCCUGACAGCAUUUUCUCCUCCUUCUUUCACACACUCACGCACAAACGCAAGUACAUGUCUUCUUCUACGUUAAUUAAUCCAGUAUUUACUUCAAUGACGAUUUGGAUGUAAUUAAUCUGAAUUUUGGCAAUUUUGUUUUUCAGCCCGAAUUUUCAGUAAUUGGAGCUGGUGACUAAGCUGAUUGGAUUCCGGAUGGGGAUUUUCGACGGGUUACCGAUUUCCCGAGACAAAGCCGUGAGUUUGCAUCUUCUUGUCUAAAAUUAGACUUUUUUGAAUUAUCAGUAAAACGUUAGUGUUGAGACCUUUGACUCAAUUUGUAUUUCUUUUUAUUGUUUAAGAUUGCAGCCUUUCAUUUUUGCUUAUUGUUGUGUUUAAUAACCCACAUGCGUAAAGUAUUUGAAGAUUUUAGUUGCGAAGUAUUGUAAUCGACGAGAGAAAAUGGGGUUAUUAUGUAGUUGGAUGAUUUGGUUAUUCUUGAACAUGACCUAAAUUGGAGCAAGGAUUUUCUGCCGCCGGCAUGAAUUCCUUUGGGUGAUGAAUUUUCUGGUCGAGAGCUCUACUUUGUAAAUACUACUCAAAAUUCAACAUGAAGUUGGGCUUGUAACUAGACCCAUUGAUUCAGAGCUUGUUGGAAAUAUCAACAUGAGAGAAUUAGUAUUUCUGGUUGAUCCUGCACAUUCUUUCUGAUUUUGCUUCAUUCCAAAUGCAGUAUUUGAGGGAGGAACUUGCGAGAAUAGAUGAGAGCUGGGCUGCUGCACGUUUUGAUUCUUUACCUCACGUUGUACAUAUUUUAACAUCCAAAGAUCGUGAUGGUGAAGCACAGCUUUUGAAGGAGCAGAGUGAUAUCAUUGAAGAAGUUGUAGAUGAAGUAGUGCAUGCUUAUCAUGGUGGCUUCAACAAAGCUAUCCAAAAUUAUUCUCAGGUUGCUAAUUAUUUCUUCUUUUUCUUGUUUACCUUUCUUGCCGCCCUUUGAUUAAAGUUUUCAACUUUUCUUUAUGUUAGUUAUCUUUGUCAUGUAUAAAUCUUAUUCCAAGUUGAUUGAUGUAAUGCCAAGAUUCGAGAUGAUGCUAGUAAUCGGCAUAUUUAUGUAUCAGUAUCGUCGUCAACUUUCUUGCGUAAAAGAAGGAUCUGUUAUAUACUGAUACGACAUUUAGGUAGACUGUAAUUGUAGUAUAGUAAAGAGGUUAUAUAGCAUAUUCUGAUUGUACAUGUGCACUGUAUAUCUUCACUAUUCUGUUUUAGAGAGAGAGAGAGAGUGGUUGGAGAAGGUAAGAGAUGGAAGGACAACAUUAGGGCAUAUGUCUUCGAAAUCAGCUACUUUGCUUAACUAUAAAACAACCACAUUGAGUAUUAUCUUUCAGAGCUGGGUGAAGGAUCUAUAGUCUAUGACCUACUGUUAUUUUCUUCCUUAUAAAGCUAAUUGUGUUGCUAUAGGAUGUCUACUUGUUUUAGUUGGCAGCAUACUACUGUUUUAAUUUUUUUUUACUUUUGAUAGAUUCAGGAAGAGUGUCUCGCUAAUAUAUAUUACUUUCUUGCCAUUUUUAACGCUCGAGUUGUUAUCCUUAGUGGAGGAGUUUAUGUUUUUCCUGGUUGUGGUGCAUUUUUUUUCUUUUUAGUAUUAGUGGUAAUUAUCUAUUAGAACCUCCCUAUUUUUGCUUUUGCCGCCGGGAAGUAGAGCAUUUAACCCUUCUUAAUAUUUCAAGUUUGUAUUAGCUCAACUAUUUUCCUCCAGAUUUUGCGGUUAUUCAGUGAAUCUGCUCAGAGUAUUGCUGUACUAAAGGGUGAUUUGGGUGACGCAAAGAAGCUUCUUGGCGCUCAAAACAAGCAGUUGCAUCAGUUAUGGUAUCGUUCGGUUACAUUGCGGCAUAUUAUAUCAUUGUUGGAUCAACUGGAGGGCAUAGCUAAGGUAUGUCAAUUGUUGUUUUCAUCCUCAUUCAUGCAUGGUUUGCCUUGCGGUACUCUUCCUUGCUGUCCAUAAAAGUGUUGUUCAAAUUGGUAUUUCUACAAAAAAAUAGAGUCAAUCAGAAGUUAUUAUUUGAGCUCAAGAUCAAAAGUAAUAUAAAGAAUGCACAAGUAUGUGUAAGGAGAAUCUUAUAGACCAUUUUAGUAAGUACAACAAAAAAUAGUAGGAAGGUCAUCUCUAUUAAAUGCUGAUACAUAUUCUGGUAAGAAUUAUGUUUAUGUUUUCAUGUUCUUUGAACUCUGAAGGAUGAAAGCAUUGGGCAUCACAUCAAGCAAUAAAGGUUAGAAAGUGACCGCAGAGAUAAAUUUAAAGUUCCAGUAACAAAAAAGAAUCACUGAAGGCAGAAUAGAAUAAAAAAUUUGGAAAAUUAUAUCUUGGAAAAUUUGGAGAUGUCUCUUUUACUUUCCUUCUGGGUGGGAUAUACAAGUCUUUAGCUUCUCUGUUAGUUUUUCUGACAUGUUGGGUUGUACAAUCAUCUAAUUUCUGUCUUCCAAUUGAAUAUCAGAAACUUAUUUUGGUUCUUGGCUGCUUGGAGCAAGUUAUUGGUGAUCUAUGAUUUUGCUAGUAUCCUUGCUAAUUCAAACUCGGUGAUCUAAAAGCUUGUACUUUCUUGAAUUUACCUUUUUAAAUAUUUUUUACUGUGUUUAUUUCAUUUAUUUAAUUUGUAGAAAUUUACAUCUACAUUGGAGAUUAAUCUGCUAAAGUGGCGCAUAAUUUGUUUUAGCACUUCCUUCCAUCAUUAUACAAGUUGACCAAUAUACUGAAAGAAACAUUUGUGGAAGCCGUGAUUCUUUUCAGCAUCCUUUCUCUUCAUUGUAGAUAAUUGUUCUAAACACCUAGCAUUUGUCGUCUUAUGAUUUAUUUGUCUUGGUUUUCUCUUCCUCAUUAUGGCUUAGGUUCCAGCUCGUAUUGAGAAGCUCAUUGCUGAUAAGCAGUUCUAUGCUGCAGUGCAGUUACAUGUUCAAUCUACAUUAAUGCUGGAGAGAGAGGGCCUUCAGACGGUUGGUUUGGUUGAUGCAUUCUUUAAUAUUUUGUUACUUUCCUCUGCUGCUUUUGAUUUUUAAUGUAAAUAAGUACGAAUCCAUGUUCUGAUUUUUCUAGCUUAUGAAGUAUGGUCAUAAAAUAAUUUCACAUCUUAUGUCUUUAAAUAUGGGGCAGUUACUUCUGAGAACUGGAGUUUUAAAUUAUUGACUUACUGUGUUGAUAGAUUGUUUUCUGGUUAUGUUGAAUUGUGAAAAUAUUCACAUUUAGGUUAGGGUUUUAGAAGUUCACCUGGAUAUUGAACUCAGCUGUCAAUGUGAAGCCACAAAUAAGGUCUGACUCCAUGAGUUCUUAGCUGUGUGGUGACUAUGGUCAAUUUGAAGGAUCUUUGGCUUAUUUCCCCCUUGUGCUAUCUUUUAUGCGCUUUAAUUAUGUGAAAUUUUAGUUACAGAAUUUGAAUGGUUGAGCACACUAAUUCAUAAGGUUUCAUUUAACUAAGAACUUCAGGACAUUAAAGAUGUCUGAUCUGUUUAAUGGGAUGAUAUUGUGGGAUGCCUUUGAUCGCUGUUAUUGAAUUUUACUCUACAGCACUACAUUGUGGUAAAGCCAUUUAAUUGGUUCAUUAUUUUUUUGGGUCAUUGGAAUGAAAUUGCUAACCCAUCCAACUAAUAUAAACUAGAGUGGAGUUAAAUAUUGCGAAUCAAAGGCAAGCAGAUGUGUGAAAUUGGACUCCCGAUUCAACAUCAGCAAGCAUGUGAUUUCCAGGCUCCAUAGCAAGUGACACCAACAUAUUUUUACCAUAAGAAUUAGUAUAUUAGAAUGCUUCAUUUGUGAGAUGACCCUUGUGUGAUCUGAAUAGCACAGGCCUGUGAGACAAACAUUAUAAACGCUCAAGGACAUGAUGAGAACUUAAAUAUUUUGAUUGGAAAAUCAUCAAAUUUUUUCUUAGAAAAAGGGUCGAUAUUGAAUCCUGUGUCAAAAUCAAUACUAAGAGUAAUCAAAAUACUAAGAUUGGUAAUAACAAUUAUCAAAUAAUUGAUAAUAUUGAUAAAAAAGGCCCUUUUAUCUUCUGCUUCCGCAAAAUCCCAAAAUAAACUCGCCAAGUCCAAAAAAAGUACAUAUGAAAUUGAGCACAAUUUUGCAAAGAAAUAGCCCACUUGUUUCUCAAGAAGAGUUGGGAAACAUGCUCAAUAUCAUUUGAUUGAGUGGUUGACCCAGCCCCUUGUUGUUUGAAGAAACCCUGACUUUUCUUAGAGUUCAACCUUAUGAAAAGCUGUCAAAUGGUUGUGGCUGCCAUGUUGCAUACGCUUUCAGUCCAUCCCUCUCUAGACAAGUUAAGUCCAUGAUAAAAUAGAAACUGUUUACAUCCACCUGUGGUUGACUUCAUCUUAAUGUACUCGUACGCUCAAGUAUCUCAAUAUGCAGUCUUAAAGCACUUGAUAGGAUAUUAAAUUUAAGGACUUUAUUUACUGGUUGAAGUUAAUGCAGCUCUCAGUUUGGUCACAUAAAUCUCUUAGGUUGUUCCAUAAUGAAUUCCAGAUUAAGCUAAAUAUAUAGUAGUAUGUGCAUACAGAAUGUGUGCACAUUCUCUUACAUGACAAGCAGGCAACUUGGUUCCAGGUUUUUUAGGGUUCACUAGAUAUCUACUGCAGUGCCUUUCUCAUUUGGCCUGGUAGACCAAUGUCUUAAAUGAAUAGCUAUUUGAUGUUUGUAAUCAUUGCUCUAAAUUUUGGUUCCCUUCUCCCUCGUCCUCCUUCUCUUCCCCCCCCCCCCCAAAAAAAAGGAUUUGAUUUAUUUGAUGAUGCUUGUAGUCGCAUCUAAACUGCAUGCCCUUUGAUGUUCUCAG
rnacentral:lncRNA from 1 species